UGCAGAUUAUGAGUAAUGGUAUCUUCAAGAGCCCAAUGCACAGGGUUGUGACAAAUCCAGACAGAAUGAGACUAUCUGUGGCCUUGUUUAAUGAACCUGAUCCUGAAACUGAAAUUAGUCCUGUGGAGAAACUGAUAGUUGAGACAAGGCCACGGUUAUAUAAAACUGUCAAGAAUUAUGGUCGUAUCAACUAUGAAUGCUAUCAGAGAGGAGAGGUAGCACUUGAAACAGUAAAAAUCAGCUAGCUCCCAUAUGAAAGAAGUUGAAUACAUUAAGGUUUGUUUUUGUAUUGACACCUGUUGUUUACUGUGAUGAAUCAUUGCUGUGUAAGCCUAUAAGUUAAUCAUGUAUGAAAGUGAGGUGAGGUGAGGUGUGUAACCAAUUACAAAAGCUUUCAUACGAUUAUAAUAAAAUGCUGCUAGCUGUCGGUGAGCCGUGGCCUGGUUGGUUAAGGUGUUAACUAACAACUUUGAGGUCAUGAGUUCAAACCUCAUUGACAUAUGUAGGGUGUGUGAGUUAUUUAAUAAAAAGUUUUUGAAAAAAAAAAAAAUGCUGCUAGCUCCAGGCUAAAAUAGAUGCCAAGCUGGUUGGAUUGGCUUCUGCAAUAAUUACAAGAGAAGAGACUAUGGUCAGCUUAAUUUUCUGGUUUCAUUUGUCCUGUUAGUGAGCUCUAUGAUUACUUCGAGUAUUUAAUAAUUCUUAUGUAUUUAUAUAUUUUAUAAAUCCUAGUAGACUAUCUGUAAAAAAACCCAUUAUUGGGGAAGACAUGAUGCUUAUAAAACCUAUUAUGAUUCCUUAUCAACCCCAUUGAAGUAUCAAAGAGAAACAUGGCUCUACUCGAUGAUGAUAAUGCCUCGGUGAAGUUGUCCACGAGUGUCCGAGAAAUGUCUAUCAAAGGUGUUGAACCACCCCCGGAAUAUAUUGUUAAGGAAGGCAUCUUUGGAGCUAUAGAGUCUUCUCCAGAAGUAGGCCAAAUCCCUAUCAUUGAUAUUAGUCUCUUCUCCACAUCAUCACAGGAUUCUCCAAAAGCGCAGAUUGAACUUGAGAAACUUAGAACAGCACUCAGCUCAUCAGGCUGCUUCCAGGUUGAUAUCAUUAUCUAAAUGUUCCAAUAUAUUGUAUUCCAUUCUAAGAUAUUGUUGUGCAUCAUUUUUUUGGGUUGUUGAAGUUGUUUUUCUCAUUUGUUUGGUUAUCAGGCAAUUGGUCAUGGCAUUUCAAGUAGCUUUCUUGACAAGUUACGCGAAGUGGCAACAAAUUUCUUUGCACUUCCAGAGGAAGAGAAGCAAAAGAAUCCAGUGGAAGAGAAGAAAAAGCACUUCAAAGUAGCUCAUCGAACUGAAGGAUAUGCUCAUGAGGUCAAAGUCUCAGAGAAGCAAGUUCUUGACUGGGUGUACCGUCUUACUCUUCUAGCAUUUCCAGAAGAUCAAAGAUGCCUAGAUCUUUGGCCAGAAAAUCCAAUCAACUUUGGGUACAUUAACUUUAAAAAUUGUUACAUGAAUAUGCAUUAUAGAUUUCUUUUGUCUCAUAUUGUAGCAGUUACUUAAUUGGUUGACUUUUUGCAGAAAGAUGUUACAUGAAUAUACAACAAAGGUAAAGUUCAUGAUGGAAAUUCUGUUUAAGGCCAUGGCGAAAUCAUUGAAUUUGGAAGAGAACAGCUUUGCAGAUAAGCUGUUUGGAAAACAAGCUCAGAUGACAGCAAAAUUCAACUUCUAUCCACAGUGUUCAAGACCCGAUCAGGUGCUUGGUGUGAAACCACAUACAGAUGGAUCAGGAGUAACAGUUCUGUUGCAAGACAAAGAAGUAGAAGGUCUUCAAGUUUUUGUGGAUGACAAAUGGGUUAGAGUCCCCAUUAUUCCUGAUGCUAUAGUUGUUAACCUUGGUGAUCAGAUGCAGGUAUAUAUACCUAUUACUACUUCAAUUUACUUCUUUGUUAUUCAAAUCCAAUAUGACAUUUCAUAACCAGUUUUUCGUUCUAUAUAUGUAUUCCUGCUGCAGAUUAUGAGUAAUGGUAUCUUCAAGAGCCCAAUGCACAGGGUUGUGACAAAUCCAGACAGAAUGAGACUAUCUCUGGCCUUGUUUAAUAAACCUGAUCCUGAAACUGAAAUUAGUCCUGUGGAGAAAUUAAUAGAUGAGACAAGGCCAAGGGUAUAUAAAACUGUCAAGAAUUAUGGUCGUAUCAGCUAUGAAUGCUAUCAGAGAGGGGAGAUAGCACUUGAAACAGUAAAAAUCUGAUAUAAUUUCUUUUCCUUUGUAAUAAUUUUCCAGCUUUCAUAUGAAAGAAGUUAAAUACAUUAAGGCUGGUUUUUGUAUUGACCUGUUGUUUACUGUGAUGAUUCAUUGCUGUAUAAGGAUGGUAGUUUAAUUUAAUUACCAAGUUAAUCAUGUAUGAAAGUGAGGUGAGGUGUGGAACCAAUUAUCAAAAGCUUGUCUGCGAUUAUAAUGUUGAAGAGACUAUAUGGUCAGCUUAAUUUUCCCACAUUAUGAAUUCAUGUUGCAGAUUAUUAGUAAUGGACUGUUAAGAGUGCAAUGCACAGGGUGUGGUGACAAAUAAUACAGAAAAGUCUAUGUUUAACUUACCAGAUUCUGAAACUGAGAUUGGUCCACUGGAGAGCUUGAUACAUCAUGAAACAAGGCCAAUGUUGUAUAAAAAUGUCAAGAACUAUGGUCGCAUCAACUACAAAUGCUAUCAGAGAGAAGAAAUAGGACUUGAAACAGUAAAGAUGUAAUUUUUCCUUCUCUGUAUAAUUAUCUUUCUAGAAGCUGAAUAGUGAUCAUUAUCAUAGUCUCAGAAUUCUGUUAGUCUCUUUUAUGUAGUGAUCACUAGUCUUUAAACGGCAAAAUCCAACUUCAGACGUCUCAUUUUCACUCUCAAUCAUUGUCCACUUUUGUGUGGGAACAAUUGAUGCAUGGCCUAAAUUUAGCACGUAAUUCAAUAAGAACCCUGGAGAUAAUUUCAUUGCUUUUUGGAAAUCAUGUUAAACAUAUAAUGUUUCCUCUAUUUAAGCUACGCAAUGUCUUAUUUUGUAUAUCAGAUGCAUCACCUCCCUCCCAUUUAAAUUGCAUUAUACAUGGAAAUAUUUAGAGUGCCUCGUCUGUUCUUUCCUUAAUUGUGUAUCUGACAAAGUACUAUAUGCAGUUAUGCAGUUAUGCACCAGACACUUGUGAAGAGUAGUCUGAGUUGUAUACGUAUUCUAGAAUAAUUGCUGAAAACCCCCUAAACCCAACACGUUUUAUGCCACCUCUUGUGUGAUGAAGAACAGAUCAGUAACUUUCCCAAGUUUGGCACAGUAAAGUUGUCUGAGUAUCCAAGAAAUGGCCAUCAAAGGUGAUGAACCACCUCCUGAAUAUAUUGUCACAGAGAGCAAGUUUGGAGCUAUAGAGUCCUCACCAGAAUUGGGUCAAAUCCCCACCAUUGAUAUCAGUCUCUUCUCCCCAUCAUCAAUUGGUACUAAGGAAGCAGAGAUCGAACUAAACAAACUCAGAUCAGCUCUCAGCUCAUCAGGCUGCUUCCAGGUUCUAUAUGCUUUUACCUUAAUUUUACUAGACUAGUUUACAUCAAGUGACCAGGUGAACAUUAAUUUUAGAUAUAUUACUAUAGCAUAAGCUAUAUUUAUCUUUCUUACUGCAUUGUCUUAAUCUGUUGAACUUGGUUUUCCUCCUACUUGAGUUUUCAGGCAAUAGGUCAUGGGAUUUCAAGUUCCUUUCUGGACAAGGUACGCGAAGUUGCAACACAAUUCUUUGAACUUCCAGUGGAAGAGAAGCAAAAAUAUUCCAGAGAAAUUUAUGGUGGGCGUGAAGGGUUUGGAGAGGAUCUCAUUGUAUCAGAGAAACAAGUUCUCGAUUGGUCGUACCGCCUAAUUCUUAAUGUGUUCCCUGAAGAUCAUAGAAAGCUCGAUCUCUGGCCAGAAAAUCCAUAUGAUUUUGGGUACAUUAACUUUAAACAUGGACUACUUAAUUCAUACAUAGUUUUCUUUAGUGAAGUCAUUGACUACUAACGAAACUUUUGUGCAGAGAGGUUGUGCAUGAAUAUGCAACAAAGGUAAAGUGUAUGAUGGGUGUGCUGUUUAAGGCCAUGGCAAAAUCGUUGAAUUUGGAGAAGAACAGCUUUUCAGAUUACAUGUUUGGAGAGGGAGCUCUGAUGCAAGCAAGAUUCAACUUCUAUCCGCGGUGUUCAAGAUCCGAUCAGGUCCUUGGUGUCAAGCCACAUACAGAUAGGUCAGGAGUGACAGUUCUGUUGCAAGACAAAGAAGUUGAAGGUCUUCAGGUUUUGGUAGAUGGGAAAUGGGUUAGAGUCCCCAUUGUGCCUCAUGCAAUAGUUGUUAAUCUUGGUGAUCAAAUGCAGGUAACACAAUAAAAAAGUUACUUAUCUUUCCGAUUUGUUUAAUUGCUUUCAGAUCCAAUCUGAAACUUCGUACCCGAAUUUUAAUACUAUAUGAAUUUUUACUGCAGAUUAUGAGUAAUGGUAUCUUCAAGAGCCCAAUGCACAGGGUUGUGACAAAUCCAGACAGAAUGAGACUAUCUGUGGCCUUGUUUAAUGAACCUGAUCCUGAAACUGAGAUUAGUCCUGUGGAGAAAUUGAUAGAUGAGACAAGGAUAAGGUUAUAUAAAACUGUCAAGAAUUAUGGUCGUAUCAACUAUGAAUGCUAUCAGAGAGGAGAGAUAGCACUUGAAACAGUAAAAAUCUGAUAUAAUUUCUUUUCCUUUGUAAUAAUUUUCCAGCUUUCAUAUGAAAGAAGUUAAAUACAUUAAGGCUGGUUUUUGUAUUGACCUGUUGUUUACUGUGAUGAUUCAUUGCUGUAUAAGGAUGGUUGUUUAAUUUAAUUACUAAGUUAAUCAUGUAUGAAAGUGAGGUGAGUUGUGUAACCAAUUAUCAAAAGUUUGCAUAAGAUUAUAAUAAAAUGCUGUUAUUUCUGUAGCUCCUGCAGCCUAAUAUAGAAGCCAAUUCAACCUGGUUGGGUUGGCUUCUGCAAUAAUAAUUACAAGAGAAGAGACUAUGGUCAGCUUAAUUUUCUGGUUUUUACUUGUCCUAUUAAUGAGCUCUAUGAUUACUAUUCCUUGAGCCCUGAAUAAUUAUUUUUUAUGUAUUUAUUUUAUUAAUCCUAGUAGACUUUGAGUCUUAAGUAAUUAUUUUAUAUUUAUGUAUUUUACAAAUCCUAGUAGACUAUCUGUAUUGGGAAGACAUUGUGCUUAUAAAACCUAUUAUGUUUCCUUAUCAACCCCAUUGGAGUAUCAAGAGAAACAUGGCUAUACUUGAUGAUGAUAAUGCCUCAGUGAAGUUGUCCAUGAGUGUCCGAGAAAUGUCUGUCAAAGGUGUUGAACCACCCCCGGAAUAUAUUGUUAAGGAAGGCAUCUUUGGAGCUAUAGAGUCUUCUCCAGAAGUAGGCCAAAUCCCUAUCAUUGAUAUCAGUCUCUUCUCCACAUCAUCACAGGAUUCUGCGAAAGCGCAGAUUGAACUUGAGAAACUUAGAUCAGCACCAGGGCCAGUCCAAUGUUUUGAAGGACCCGGUGCGAGAAAAAAAUUGGGGCCCUUUGUGUUGAGAAAUAAAAAAACUUGAAAGAACACUGAUUCCAUUUUGAAGCCUCAGCCUCAAUUGCUUUCAAACCUCCAAGCUCCCUUCCUUGUAUUUACAAACCAAUACAAGGAACAAGUUGUUAAAUUUAUUGUGUGUAUAUUCAAUUUAUGUAUAAAAUUGUAGGAAAUCAAAAGAAUACCUUUAGGGAAUAAAACAAGAGAGAUUGAGUGUAUAAACAAAGCCAAUUAAGAGAUAGGAGUUGGGAAAUUUGAAGAUGAAGAUAGGAAGUAUGAGUACUAGGAGGAAACAGAGAGUAGAGAGACGGAGGAACAAUGAUCAAACCGAGGUGAUCAAUAAUUGANNNNNNNNNNNNNNNNNNNNNNNNNNNNNNNNNNNNNNNNNNNNNNNNNNNNNNNNNNNNNNNNNNNNNNNNNNNNNNNNNNNNNNNNNNNNNNNNNNNNNNNNNNNNNNNNNNNNNNNNNNNNNNNNNNNNNNNNNNNNNNNNNNNNNNNNNNNNNNNNNNNNNNNNNNNNNNNNNNNNNNNNNNNNNNNNNNNNNNNNNNNNNNNNNNNNNNNNNNNNNNNNNNNNNNNNNNNNNNNNNNNNNNNNNNNNNNNNNNNNNNNNNNNNNNNNNNNNNNNNNNNNNNNNNNNNNNNNNNNNNNNNNNNNNNNNNNNNNNNNNNNNNNNNNNNNNNNNNNNNNNNNNNNNNNNNNNNNNNNNNNNNNNNNNNNNNNNNNNCCCUUGCCGGCCGGGGCCCUGUGCGGCGGCGCCGCCUUGACCGCCCCAGGGCCGGCUCUGAUCAGCACUCAGCUCAUCAGGCUGCUUCCAGGUUGAUAUCAUUAUCUAAAUGUUCCAAAAUAUUGUAUUCCAUUCUAAGAUAUUGUGGUGCAUCAUUUUGUUGGUUUGUUGAAGUUUGUUUUUCUCAUUUGUUUGGUUAUCAGGCAAUUGGUCAUGGCAUUUCAAGUAGCUUUCUUGACAAGUUACGCGAAGCGUCAACAAAUUUCUUUGCACUUCCAGAGGAAGAGAAGCAAAAGAAUCCAGUGAAAGAGAAGAAAAAGCACUUCAAAGUAGCUCAUCGAACUGAAGGAUAUGCUCAUGAGGUCAAAGUCUCAGAGGAGCAAGUUCUUGACUGGGCAUACCGUCUUACUCUUCUAGCAUUUCCAGAAGAUCAAAGAUGCCUAGAUCUUUGGCCAGAAAAUCCAAACAACUUUCGGUACUUCAACUUUAAAUAUUGUUACAUGAAUAUAUGCAUUGUAGAAACACAAGCCUUUGUUGGUUUGGUUUACUUCAAAUUCUGCUAGUACCAAAACAAUCCCGGGUUCGAAUCCCAGUCUCAGCAAUUUUUUUUGUCCUUGCCUUCGGGCUCCAUGUCAUCAAAAAAAAUAUAUGCAUUGUAGACAUUUUGUUUUGGUCUUUCAAUUACAUUGUUGAUUUUCUGCAGAGAGGUGUUACAUGAAUAUGCAACAAAGUUAAAUCUCAUGACGGCUGUUCUGUUUAAGGCCAUGGCGAAAUCGUUGAAUUUAGAAGAGAACAGCUUUGCAGAUCAGCUGUUUGGUGAACAAGCUUUGAUGACAGUAAGAUUCAACUUCUAUCCUAAGUGUUCAAGACCUGAUCAGGUGCUUGGUGCAAAACCACAUACAGAUGGAUCAGGAAUAACACUUCUGUUGCAAGACAAAGAAGCAGAAGGUCUUCAAGUUUUGGUGGAUGGCAAAUGGGUUAGAGUCCCCAUUGUGCCUGAUGCUAUAGUUGUUAACCUUGGUGAUCAGAUGCAGGUAUAUAUAUAUACCUAUUACUACUUUAAAGGUCCUAGAGGGGGGGUGAAUAGGCCUUUUUGAAAUUUUCGUUGCCUUCUGUAUCCGAGGAUAGCAAUGAUUUGUGCUAUCCUCGAAUCACAGGAUGCGAGUUUGCAGAAAGUAAAUUGCAGCAAAUAAAGAAACAACACAAGGAUGUUUUUUACUCGCAGAAACCCUGAAUGCAGGGAGAAAAACUGCGUGUCUCUAACUCUUGAGAGACAAAAAACUUCCACUAAGUUGAAGUAACUUCUUACAAGAAUAAUAGUUCUAGUGAUACACUACCACAGUGCUAUCCUUCCUAGUCCCGAACUAGUCUAGACCUAUUCCCUCUCUUGUUUCUAAGUUCUUACAACAUGGGACACUUUUUGAAGCCUUGUUCGUGAAUUCAGCUAACCACUAGCAGAUUCAACCUUGAACGCUUCUUGAGUUGGUUGCACUACACAUCCCUCAUGGUAUGCAACAUGAUAUGAGUUGAUGAAAGAAGUUUUGAGUUCAAGCUCUAAGGUUUACAGUCACGAAGAAGACUUAGAGCAGCAUGAACAAUGNNNNNNNNNNNNNNNNNNNNNNNNNNNNNNNNNNNNNNNNNNNNNNNNNNNNNNNNNNNNNNNNNNNNNNNNNNNNNNNNNNNNNNNNNNNNNNNNNNNNNNNNNNNNNNNNNNNNNNNNNNNNNNNNNNNNNNNNNNNNNNNNNNNNNNNNNNNNNNNNNNNNNNNNNNNNNNNNNNNNNNNNNNNNNNNNNNNNNNNNNNNNNNNNNNNNNNNNNNNNNNNNNNNNNNNNNNNNNNNNNNNNNNNNNNNNNNNNNNNNNNNNNNNNNNNNNNNNNNNNNNNNNNNNNNNNNNNNNNNNNNNNNNNNNNNNNNNNNNNNNNNNNNNNNNNNNNNNNNNNNNNNNNNNNNNNNNNNNNNNNNNNNNNNNNNNNNNNNNNNNNNNNNNNNNNNNNNNNNNNNNNNNNNNNNNNNNNNNNNNNNNNNNNNNNNNNNNNNNNNNNNNNNNNNNNNNNNNNNNNNNNNNNNNNNNNNNNNNNNNNNNNNNNNNNNNNNNNNNNNNNNNNNNNNNNNNNNNNNNNNNNNNNNNNNNNNNNNNNNNNNNNNNNNNNNNNNNNNNNNNNNNNNNNNNNNNNNNNNNNNNNNNNNNNNNNNNNNNNNNNNNNNNNNNNNNNNNNNNNNNNNNNNNNNNNNNNNNNNNNNNNNNNNNNNNNNNNNNNNNNNNNNNNNNNNNNNNNNNNNNNNNNNNNNNNNNNNNNNNNNNNNNNNNNNNNNNNNNNNNNNNNNNNNNNNNNNNNNNNNNNNNNNNNNNNNNNNNNNNNNNNNNNNNNNNNNNNNNNNNNNNNNNNNNNNNNNNNNNNNNNNNNNNNNNNNNNNNNNNNNNNNNNNNNNNNNNNNNNNNNNNNNNNNNNNNNNNNNNNNNNNNNNNNNNNNNNNNNNNNNNNNNNNNNNNNNNNNNNNNNNNNNNNNNNNNNNNNNNNNNNNNNNNNNNNNNNNNNNNNNNNNNNNNNNNNNNNNNNNNNNNNNNNNNNNNNNNNNNNNNNNNNNNNNNNNNNNNNNNNNNNNNNNNNNNNNNNNNNNNNNNNNNNNNNNNNNNNNNNNNNNNNNNNNNNNNNNNNNNNNNNNNNNNNNNNNNNNNNNNNNNNNNNNNNNNNNNNNNNNNNNNNNNNNNNNNNNNNNNNNNNNNNNNNNNNNNNNNNNNNNNNNNNNNNNNNNNNNNNNNNNNNNNNNNNNNNNNNNNNNNNNNNNNNNNNNNNNNNNNNNNNNNNNNNNNUGGACCUUGACACAGCUGAUAGCAACUGGUCUUUGAACCAUACAGGGACCAGCUUAUACAUCGGAUAACGUAUCAUGAAAUCCCAGCUGGAGCCUUGAGCAUCAAACCAUUUGGUCACGGGUUGGCAUAAUAAAAGAUCUCAACCCUUUGACUGGUUUGAGCGCUAAAGCACUUCCCACAAACUCAGUUGUCCAUUUGAAAUUAAAAGACAUAUUAUACUAAUAUAACAGACUUUGAAACUCAGUACAGCAGAAGACUCAGUACUAGGAUAGCAAGCGAAGCUGCUAUCCUCUGUGAAAAACAGUGAUAUGCAGAUGCACGUUUUACCUGAAACCAUGAGGGAUAUUAGCGCCACUUGUUCUUGAUCAGAUAACAUUAUCUCAAAGUGUUUUGCAGUAUAAAAGGAUUGCCAACUAUCCUUAUACCUUCAUACUUCAAUGUACUUCUUUGUUAUUCAAAUCCAAUAUGACAUUUCAGAACCAGUUUUGGUGUUAUAUAUGUAUUCCUGCUGCAGAUUAUGAGUAAUGGUAUAUUCAAGAGUCCAAUGCACAGGGCUGUGACCAAUACAGAAAGGAUGAGGUUGUCUGUGGCCUCGUUUAACGAACCAGAUCCUGAAAGUGAGAUUGGUCCAGUGCAGAAACUGAUAGAUGAGGCAAGGCCAAGACUGUACAAGAAUGUCAAGAAUUAUGGUCUCAUCAACUACCAAUGCUAUCAGGGAGGACAAAUAGCACUUGAAACAAUGAAGAUAUAAGUUUUCUUUUCUGUGUUUAUUUGAUUGUGUCAAAACUAUGAAACUUUGAAUCAACUACAAGCCCUGUUAUCAUUUCUUUGUAUUUAUCACCCGUAAUAUCGUAUCAAUAAAAGCUAAUCAAUUUCACUGAUGAAACACUGUCCUUAUUUGUUCAAGCCAAUUCUAACAGUCUCUGCAUAUAUAGGAGCAGAAUGAGAAAUUACAUUUUUACAGCAUCAAGAAGCACUAACCCUUUCUGAUAACUUUGAUAGUUAAAACUCGGUGGCAUAUUUGAUCAAGUACGUUCUCUCUAAAGGGUAUUUCCAAUCUGUCGUAACAUUUUUUAAUCAUGCAUCUGUGAUUCUGUAAAGAGGUUAGGAAGCAUUUCUCCCAAAAUACGUAGCUGAUCAAACUUCAAGUACAAACAAUCUAUCUAGAAACUUGGAAUUGAUGGCUCGCUUAUGACGUAAGCAGAGGUUCUUGGUGAGUCGUGUCGCAAUGUAACUUUCACUUUACAUUAAUAGAUUGACGCCCUCUCGAUUAUUAAAGUUUUAGUUUGUGCUCUUUUAUGAGAAUUGGUCAUUGAUGCAUGGCCUUCAUUCACCUAACUUUCAUUGUUUUUGGAUUCAUGUUAAAAGAUAAUGUUCCCUCCAUUUAAGUACGUAAUCUCUUAUUUUGUACAUCUGAUACAUCACUUCUUUCCAUUUUAAUUGCAUUAUGUGUCAAAUAUUUAGGAUACUUCUCCCCAAAUUGGCUAGGCACUCAUCUUUCCACAAUUGUACUGCAUGCGUAUUGGAUCACUUGUGAACCAUAUUAGAUGAGUUGUAGAUGAGUGGUAUACGUAUUCUAGUGUAAUUACUAGAGAACCCUGUAAACACAAAAAUUCAUGUAACGAAUAACAUAAAGACACGUGUACGAAAUAAUAUAUUUGUAUUGAUUGAAUUUGCGGGUUACAAUCUCUAUGGGUAUUCUUUUAACAAACAUGUCCUCUGAUUCGAUCUCCGACGUUGAUUUGAUCCAAAGGUGACGAGCACUUGAUCUUGAAUUGAGCUGUUGUAGUUUGAACUUGUUAUCGUGUUGACAAUUUGUAGAAGGAAGUUGACCGCCGUAGAGGCUUGAUCUUGGUCGAAUUUGGGCCGCGAGAAGUGUCAUGUGGUGAACGUUCUUCGGCUUGAUAGCGGAUGAAUCGACACGUGUGUUUGGUGCUUGUUGAUUCUCCACGAGCUUGUUGAAGAACUUGGGAAAAGUUUUGAUUUGUUGAAAGGCUUGAAGACGAGGGUUGAUCAAGGGCCGUAGAGGUUUGACAUUGAUCGGGGUGGUUGCUCUUCGUCUUGUAGUUGGUGAAGAUGUCGGCUAUUUGGCAACUUGGGACUCUUCGGGAUUUGACAACUUUUAGGCUUGACGUUGAUGAAGAAUCGGCUAUUUGGCAGCUUGAUGAUUUUUAAAGGUUUUGGGAGAAUUCUGAGCCCUCAGGAGUAAUUUUUCUCUCUUGUCCAGAAGUCCUCCUCUUGAUAUGAGAGGGUGUAUUCAUAGUGUCGAUGUUCCUCCGUAAAUGGAAAUGGAAUGCAUUGAAGUCACAACUUUAAUUGUAUUUCCUUAAUGAUAUAAUUAAAUCAUUCACUUUUGAUUGAUUGAUUCAAUUAUUCAAUUUACCAUAAUUAAAUCAAUCAGUCUUAAUUGAUCGAUUUAAUUAUGACCGAUAAGGUAUUUCACCAAUUUGAUUAAAUUCCGACUUUCUUUUCGAUAAUCGAUUUAAUUUGAUUAAUGUAUGAUUAUCGAUUGACAUUUAAUAUUUGAUUUUAAUCGGGAUUGAUGAUUUUGUUGUCGACCGACCAUUCACAGGCCGCCACGUGUUAUUUCCGAAAACUUUUCAAAUUUGUUGACUCACAAGCCACGUAUGCAAUUUGUCGGGCUCAUACGUUGUAUGAAUAAUUUAAUGAUUAUUAUUCUCAUUAAAUUUUAUGCGUCUACAAACCCCUAAACCUAGAACCUUUUAUGCCACCUUUUGUGUGAUGAAAAAAAUAUCUGAAACUUUCCCAAUCUUGUUGUUUGGCACAGUGAAGUUGUCCGUAUGAGUAUCCAAGAAAUGUCCAUCAAAGGUGAUGAACUACCACCUGAAUAUAUUGUCACAGAAAGCAAGUUUGGAGCCAUAGAGUCCUCACCAGAAUUGGGUCAAAUCCCCACCAUUGAUGUUAGUCUCUUCUCCCAAUCAUCAAUUGGCACUAAGGAAGCAGAGAUCGAACUAAAGAAACUCAGAUCAGCUCUUAGCUCAUCCGCCUGCUUCCAGGUUAUCUCUACUAUUAGAAAGCCAGGCACCCUAUUUGGUGUUAUGGUGAAACCUUUUUUUUAAUUGCCCAAAAAACCAAGGUAACAAAAAUAUCUUUAAGAAAUAAAAAUAAAGUUAUUUUAGGGCUUAAUCGUAAAACACCAUUAGAAUUCAAAGAAAAAGAGAAAUUUUAAAUACACACCCCUAAUCUCUUAAUACACACCCUUAUUAUUUUAUGUUUCUGUUGAGAUUUUAUAAGNNNNNNNNNNNNNNNNNNNNNNNNNNNNNNNNNNNNNNNNNNNNNNNNNNNNNNNNNNNNNNNNNNNNNNNNNNNNNNNNNNNNNNNNNNNNNNNNNNNNNNNNNNNNNNNNNNNUUGUGCUCUUGUGAAUUUUGAAAACUUGUAUUGGUGAUUUAGAGUUGAGAUAUAACAAUAAUCAUUUGAUUAUAAAUUGAACGAUGAUAACCAAAAAUUUCUAGCAAAAAUUAGACGAAAUAAUAUGUAAAAAGAGGUACCAAAUAGUAAAUAUAUAUUAAUUAUAUUAAAUAACGGAAUAUUUCAUAAAUUAAGGGCAUUUUAGACAGUCUGGGAUGUGUAUUAAGUAUAAUAUUGAAAUGAAAAACUUGAUAGGUAGUGUAUUAAGUAAGGGGUGUGUAUUAAGAUAUUAGGGGUGUGUAUUUAAAAUUUCUCAAAGAAAAAAGGGACGAGGAGAAAAAAAAAGAUGUGUGAAAGUUUCAUCCCACUUUUUAUGGAGCGGUUAUCUACAAAAACCCACGUUAGGUGGAGCAGUUCAAAUAAAAUUUCUUCUAUUUUUUUAUCUUGUGCAGAUACAUGGGUAAGAGGCUAGUAUAUAUAUAGUUUCACCUAAAUUUUACUAGAGUAGUGUUCAUCAAGUGACCAGGUGAACAUUAAUUUUAGAUAUAUUCAUAUAUAUUACUAUAGCAUAAGCUAUAUUUAUCUUUCUUAGUGCAUUGUCUUAAUCUGUUGAACUUGGUUUUUCAGGCAAUCGGUCAUGGGAUUUCAAGUUCCUUUCUGGACAAGGUACGCGAAGUUGCAACACAAUUCUUUGAACUUCCAGUGGAAGAGAAGCAAAACUACUCGAGAGAAAUUUAUGGUGGCGAAGAAGGAUAUGGGGAGGAUGUAAUUGUCUCAGAGAAGCAAGUUCUUGAUUGGUCUUACCGCCUAAUUCUUCAAGUAUUCCCUGAAGAUCAAAGAAGGCUUGAUCUCUGGCCAGAAAAUCCAACUGAUUUUCGGUACAUUAACUUCAAACAUUGACUACAUAUUGUGCUACAUAAUUUUCUUUUAGUGAACUCAUUGACUACUAACAUCUUUGGUGCAGAGAGGUUCUGCAUGAAUAUGCAACACAGGUAAAGUUCAUUAUGCAUGUUCUGUUCAAGGCCAUGGAAAAAUCUCUGAAUUUAGAAGAGAACAUCAUUUUAGAUAAGCUGCUUGGAGAAAAAGCUCAGAUGAGAGCAAAAUUCAACUUCUAUCCGCGGUGUCCAAGAGCCGAUAAGGUGUUUGGUUUGAAGCCUCAUACAGAUGGGUCAGGAAUGACUGUUCUGUUGCAGGACAAAGAGGUAGAAGGUCUUCAAGUUUUGGUUGAUGGAAAAUGGGUUAGAGUCCCCAUUGUGCCUCAUGCAAUAGUUGUUAAUCUUGGUGAUCAAAUGCAGGUAACACAAUAAAAAAGUUACUUAUCUUUCCAAUUUGUUCAAUUGAUUUCAGAUCCAAUCUGAAACUUCGUACCCGAAUUUUAAUACUAUAUGGGAUUUUUACUGCAGAUUAUGAGUAAUGGUAUCUUCAAGAGCCCAAUGCACAGGGUUGUGACAAAUCCAGACAGAAUGAGACUAUCUGUGGCCUUGUUUAAUGAACCUGAUCCUGAAACUGAGAUUAAUCCUGUGGAGAAAUUGAUAGAUGAGACAAGGCCAAGGUUAUACAAAAAUGUCAAGAAUUAUGGUCGUAUCAACUAUGAAUGCUAUCAGAAAGGAGAAGUUGCACUUGAAACAUUGAAGAUCUGAAUUUCAUUUAUCUAUGCCUUUAUCAUGCAUGUAUAAAUAAAUUGUGUAAACACUAUGAAACUUUUCAAAUAAGUACAGCCCCUGUGAUCUUAAUCAUAGGCUAUUAAUCAUAUGCUAUUUAUUUUCUGUUGUACAACUAUGAUAAUAUUUUCUCCAUUUAAUUACAGAUUAUUUUAUUUUGCAUAUCCAAAACUAUAAUUGCAUUUCAUUUUAAAUUACAUAGCACAUCAAACUAUACAUAUAUAUUUCAGAGUAGCCCAAUUACUAGAAAACCCCUAAAACCCAACCCUUAUAUAUGCCACAUCUUGUGUGGUGGAUUGAGUCAAACCUUAGCUCAAUUAUCACAUUACACAGAUCAGAAACUUCCCAGAAUAGUUGUUUGGCACAGUGCAGUAAUCGAUGAGUGUUGAAGAACUGUCCAUCAAAGGUGAUGAACCACCCGCUGAAUAUAUUGUUAAAGAAAGCAAGUUUGGAGGUAUAGAGUCUUCCCCAGAAUCAGGUCAAAUCCCCAUCAUUGAUAUUAGUCUCUUCUCCCCAUCGUCAGUUGGUACUAAGGAAGCAGAGAUCGAACUAAACAAACUCAGAUCAGCUCUAAGCUUAUCAGGAUGCUUCCAGGUUAUAUAUGAUUUUACCUUACUUUUACUAGAGUAUUGUUCAUCAAGUGAACAUGUUAGGUAAAUUACUAUAGCAUAAGUUUUCUGUAUCUUUAUUUGUGCAUUGUCUAAAUCUGUUGUACUUGUUUUUCUCCUACUUGGGUUUUUAGGCCAUAGGUCAUGGGAUUUCAAGUUCCUUUCUUGACAAGGUACGCGAAGUCGCGACACAAUUCUUUGAACUUCCAGUGGAAGAGAAGCAAAAAUACUCAAGAGAAAUUUAUGGUGGCCAAGAAGGAUAUGGGGACGAUGUAAUUGUCUCAGAGAAGCAAGUUCUUGAUUGGUUGUACCGCCUAAUUCUUCAAGUAUUUCCUGAAGAUCAAAGAAGGCCUGAUCUCUGGCCAGAAAUUCCAACUGAUUUUCGGUACAUUAACUUCAAACAUUGACUACAUGUUGUGCUACAUGAUUUUCUUUUAGUGAACUCAUUGACUACUAACAUCUUUGGUGCAGAGAGGUUCUGCAUGAAUAUGCAACACAGGUAAAGUUCAUUAUGCAUGUUCUGUUCAAGGCCAUGGAAAAAUCUCUGAAUUUAGAAGAGAACAGCUUUUUAGAUAAGCUGCUUGGAGAAAAAGCUCAGAUGAGAGCAAGAUUCAACUUCUAUCCGCGGUGUUCAAGAGCCGAUAAGGUGUUUGGUUUGAAGCCUCAUAUAGAUGCGUCAGGAAUGACUCUUCUGUUGCAGGACAAAGAAGUGGAAGGUCUUCAAGUUUUGGUGGAUGGUAUAUGGUUUAGAGUCCCCAUUGUGCCAGCUGCCAUUGUUGUUAAUCUUGGUGGUCAAAUGCAGGUAAAAAGAUUUACUUAUCACUCUAAUGUGUUUAACUGCUUUCAAAUUUCAGAAGUUUCGUAAUAUAUAGUUUUUGAUAGUAUGAAUUCAUGAUGCAGAUUAUGAGUAAUGGCAUAUUCAAAAGCCCAGUGCACAGAGCGGUGACAAAUCCAGAAAGAAUGAGGCUCUCUGUGGCCUUGUAUAAUGCACCAGAUCCUGAAACUGAGAUUGGUCCAGUGGAGAAACUAAUAGAUGAAACAAGGCCAAGGUCAUACAAAAAUGUCAAGAACUAUGCCUAUAUCAACUAUGAGUGCACUCAGAGAGGAGAAUUAGGGGUUGAAACAUUAAAGAUUUGAAUUUCACUUCUCUCUAGUCUGUAUAUUUAUCACGUAGAACUAUGUUGUGAAUGCACUAGGAAAGUUUUCAAACAAGACCAACCCUGUGCAGGGGCGGAUACAUGUAUUAGGCUGUCUGGGCUGCAACCUAGACAGAAUUCUCUAUAUGUAGUAAAUGAAUACCCACUAGUAAUCAAAGAUGCUUUGGCGCAAUUGGCAUUCUCCCCAACUUUACUUCAGUAUGGGUCAGAGGUUCGACUCCUUCUGAUGCUUUUACACAAGCAGAUUUGAUGAUUUCACCUAGUUUUCCAAUAUUUUCUCCUUCCUUUAUUCAUUUUUGACCCUACAAACCACACACUUAUGAAACCUAUAUUUCUUUGACUUUGCAUGUUCUUUUCCCUUCUCAUUUUCUUCACUUUCCUACUUUGGUUAAAUUAUUAUUUUUCCAUUGUUUUGGCAAUAAUCUAUUUUUCUAUUAGCAUUUUGUUGUAAUUUUUUUAAAUGCUUUCUCAUAUACUCCUACACUUCCAUUAAUGUUUCUUUAAAUGUUUUCUCAUAUNNNNNNNNNNNNNNNNNNNNNNNNNNNNNNNNNNNNNNNNNNNNNNNNNNNNNNNNNNNNNNNNNNNNNNNNNNNNNNNNNNNNNNNNNNNNNNNNNNNNNNNNNNNNNNNNNNNNNNNNNNNNNNNNNNNNNNNNNNNNNNNNNNNNNNNNNNNNNNNNNNNNNNNNNNNNNNNNNGCUCUGUCCAAGUCUGUCACGAAUUCGGCUACCGCCCCCGAGCUCCCUGACGGGACCCGACCCGAUAUCUCCAAUUUAAUCCCCAUGACCACCAUCCUCAAUUGGUGCGACCACAACCACGUCGACCGCCCCCAGCCGCCCGAUUUGCCCUCCGUCAAGUAGUAGUUAUAUGAUUCGGCUUGGACGAGAGAUUGGAGGAGAAUUUGAGCCAGCGGUCGUCCACUUCGGCGGAGAAGUAUAGCAUGGCGAGCUCAGUGAGGACCAUGACUCUACCGGCAAAGUCAACGAGGACAGAGCCGAGCUGGGGCAACGCGCGGAAGCGGCACAUGAAGGGGUUGCAAAGGAGGAGGGACUUGGAGGAGUCGGAGGGGGAGUCGGCCCAGAGGUAGAGGAGGCCAGAGGAGGAGGCGACGGGGUGGGGCGAGCGGAAGGGGAGGAAGUCGAGGAAGAAGCGGAGCCAGCGGUGGAGGUCUUUACGAUUUUUCUUUUGUUAUUUUAAGUUUUCUUCUUCUGUAAGGAUAGAGUCUCAAUCCCAAUCCAAUUCUUUUCUAGUAUAACAAACAUCCUAUUGGAUAGGAGGCAGAUAUCUUCAAAUCCAAUCUAGUCAAGUUGGAACAAGACUUGAUUAGAAAUCCAAUCUAGUCCAUGGUACCAAACACGGCCAUAAAGUACCUUCCCUAGACCUGCCUGAAACAGAAAUAUCUGCAAUAUUAUUACAUUGGGAAGAAUGCAUAGUUGCAUGCUUUGACUGCUACCCACAUGAAAACAUAUUAAAUUAGGAUAGACUCUAAUUCUUGUUUCUGAUCUGAAUACAAUAAAGUCCAAUUCUUCUGUCAUUUGCUUAUCAUAAAUCACUCAGCAAUUUGCAGCUAAAUCUACAAAAACCCUUCACAAAAUCCACACAGUAAGAAAGACAUGGCUAAAUCUUCCGCGCCUGCCCAGUUCGAGUUAUUAGCAACCAAAACUGUCCAAGAGCAACUCAUAGAAGGAGAAGUACUGGUACCCCCACCGAAAUAUAUUCUCAAAGAUGGAGUUCCACUUCCAGAUGCUUCUGUUGAGUUCAUGGAUGUUCCAGUUAUUGAUCUUGGCCUCCUCACACCAUCCUCAAUCAGUAUGGAAGAAUUUGAAAAACUCAGAUCAGCUUUAAACAAAUGGGGUUGCUUUCAGGUAUGAAUCCAAACAACUUGAGAAACUCUUAGAAGCUAGAACAAUAGAUCUACUACCAAGUUUUGUGAUGGUGGACUUGCUAGUUGCUAUAUAUGUGUAACUUUUUUGAGGCUGCAUAUUGUGUUUUCCAGGUAGUUAACCAUGGAAUGACUCCUGAAUUCCUUGACCAAGUCCGUGAAAUCACGAAACAGUUUUUUGCAAUGCCAGCGGAAGAGAAGAAGAAAUAUUUGAGGCCAGUCGACAAUAUUGAAGGAUAUGGGAAUGACAUGGUAUUUUCAGAGCAGCAAACACUUGAUUGGACCGACAGACUAUACCUUACAGUAUAUCCACCAGACAAGCACAAGCUAAAGUUUUGGCCUGAAAAUCCCAAAUCUUUCAGGUAACAUACUAGUAUAUAUGAUCAGAACUUAGAACUCAACUUUUUAUCAAGCAAUCAAUAGAUGGUUAUUGAUCCUAUUACUGAUGUACACUGCAGGGAUACUCUAGACCAAUAUACCUGUAAGUUACAGGUGAUAACAGAAACUGUCCUUAAGGGCAUGGCGCGGUCAUUGAAUUUGGAGGAAGAUUGCUUUCUGAAAAAGUAUGGAGAACAAAGGAAAAUGGAUGCUAGGUUCAACUUCUAUCCUCCAUGUUCUAGGCCUGAUCGCGUACUCGGUACCAAGCCACAUGCAGAUGGAACAUUAAUAACCCUUCUGUUGCAAGAUAAAGAAGUGGAAGGUCUUCAAUUUAUGAAAGAUGACCGAUGGUAUAGGGCUCCCAUUGUUCCGGAGGCGCUUCUCAUUAAUGUUGGUGAUCAAGCUGAGGUAACUAAAGCUUCAAAUGUGUUUACCUCAGAUAUUAAAACCUGUUCAUUUUGGCUACAACUAAUUUCCAUUAAAACCUGUUCAUUUUGAUGCACAGAUAUUGAGCAAUGGACUGUUCAAGAGUCCGGUGCACAAGGUUGUAACAAAUGCAGAGAAGGAGAGGAUAUCCUUGGCUGUGUUCUGUGUCCCGGAUUCAGAGACAGAGAUUGAACCCUUUGAAAGCCUCAUCAAUGAGUCAAGGCCAAGGUUGUACAAAAAGCUGAAGAACUACGUUGGCAUCUAUUUCGAGUACUACCAGCAGGGAAGAAGACCAAUUGAAGCAGCAAUAAUAUAACCUCUGGUUACGUAACUCUUAUGGCUUGUACCAAGAGACCAAUAAAGUUGUAUUGCUGAGAAGAUGGUGGCAUGAUUCCUAAGCAGAUACUGUUAUUUAAGUUUUCUUCUAUUUUAUCUUAACUUGGUUUUAACUUCUAAAGUUCUAAUUGGAUGAAGAUAUAAUUUUUGAAGCAUGAAAUGAAUAAAGAUCGUCAUUCAUACCAUGUAGAAGAUAUAAACUAAACACCAAAAUUGUUGGCAGGAUCUUAUUUAUAUUGAUGUAAACAAAGUGAGGGAAAGAACACAUAUAGGAGCUGCUUUGGAUGAUGGCAAUGUCUUCUCAUCGAUCAAUCUUUCAAUUUCUUCUUCAUGCAAUGCAUUCGACUUCAAUAUUGCUCAGGAACAACCAUUGCCACAAUCUCUUCCAUGAAUGUUCCAUCAAUUGGUUCUGUUGCAAUCAAUGAAGGUUUUAUAGAUAUGCUACAGCAAGGAAUAGAUCAGCCGAGGACUACUGUUAACAAUUCAAACAGACGCUGCUGCUACAACUUUCUAAGCUCACACAUAUAUUGAAGUGAUUUCAGCGUCUGCUACAACUUUCUAAGCUCACACAUAUAUUGAAGUGAUUUCUUUCAAAUGUAUUUAUAUGACAUAAACUGAUUAGGGAAAUGCAGUCCUGGUACCUUAGCUUCAUAGUUGCUGUUUUAGUGUUCAAAUCUUUAUAUCAGACUAAUGUUUGCAAGACAUAUUAACUACACACUUGGUUAUAUACAACAAUACAUACCCUGCACUACUUGCUACACACAGAAUUCCAAUAUAGCAAAAACAACAAAAUCCUUAUAUGAAGAAUUUAUAUUGAAGCUUAUAAGGUUACCUUAAGCAUAAAGAGCAGCCGGUGACGGCGGUCUCCGGCCGAGUCUGGGUCGCCGGAGAGAGAUGAGAGAUGAUAGAAAACGGCCAGACCAAGAGACGUCGAUCAAAGACCCGCGCAGUCUUCAGUUUUAGUCAUACUCCUUCAGUCAUUUUUAGGUUUUUUUUUUUAAAAACAAUUUAAAGGUGGGCCAACCAUCCUGCCUAGACCCAAUUAAAUAAGGUUCCGCCAAGCGGGCCCAAAGCUCCUCCUAGCCCAAGUAAGGCCCAGUCCUCCAUCUUCUCCGGCGAGAAGUCGACCGACCGUUGUAGACUUGUAGUUAUGCAUGUGAAUCAUCUGUGUUACUUCGUUUUUAUGUUCAGUUGGUGUUGAUUUGAGGAUGAAUAUUGGAAACUUGGAAUGAACAGAAGAACUGUGAAAAUGCAAUGUAAAAAGGAUGAACAAUUAGAUAAAAACCAAAAGACAUGAAAUAAAAACCGACACACAGAUGGAUUCUCUGUUUAGCCUCCCUCUUCUUUGGCUUUUUCGUCUUCAUGCUGACGUUCAACAAUUGACACCAUGUAAAGACUAACGUGGAUACAGCAUAGAAGCCUAUCCCAAUCAUAAUCCCCUUCUCAUCUUAACACAAUAAAGCACGAAACCCUAUACAAAAUCCACACAGAAAGAAAGACAUGGCUGAUCAAUCUUCCACUCCUGCCAAGGUCGAGUUUUUAGCUACCAAAACCGUGCAAGAGCAACUCACUGAAGGAGAACUACUAGUACCACCACCGGAAUAUAUUCUCAAAGAUGGAAUCCCAUGUCCGAAUGCUUCUCUUGAGUUAAUGGAUGUUCCAAUUAUUGAUCUUGGUCUCCUCAUCCCUUCCUCAAUCAGUGUGGAAGAACUUGACAAACUCAGAUCAGCUCUUACCACGCGCGGUUGCUUUCAGGUUUGAACUUACACAAGAAGAAGUGAAUUUGUUAGUAGUUAGGACAAUGGAUGAUAUUCCAAUACCAAGUUAGUUAGAUGGUAGACUUGCUAUGUAAAACAUGUUUGAGGCUGCUCAUUGUGUUUUUCAGGUAAUAAACCAUGGAAUGACUCUUGAAUUCCUUGACAAAGCCCGUGAAAUCACCAAGCAGUUUUUCGCUAUGCCAGUGGAAGAGAAACAGAAAUAUUUGAGGCCAGUUGAUGAUUUUGAAGGAUAUGGGAAUGACAUGGUUGUUUCAGAGCAGGAAACACUUGAUUGGACUGACAGACUAUACCUUACUGCAUAUCCACCAGACCAGCGCAAGCUCAAGUUGUGGCCUGAAAAUCCCAAAUCUUUCAGGUAACAUAUAUAAUCAGAAAUCAGAACUUCGAACUGACCUUUUUAUCAAGCAAUCAAAAGAUGGUUAUUGAUGCUAUAAAUGAUGUAAACUGCAGGGAUACUCUAGACCAAUAUACCAGUAAGUUACAGGUGAUAACUGAAACUGUCCUUAAGGGCAUGGCGCGGUCAUUGAAUUUGGAGGAAGAUUGCUUUGUGAACAUGUAUGGAGAACAAAGGAAAAUGGAUGCUAGGUUUAACUUAUAUCCUCCAUGUUCAAGGCCUGAUUGUGUCCUUGGUUUCAAGCCACAUUCAGAUAGUUCAAUAAUCACCAUUAUUUUGCAAGAUAAAGAAGUGGAAGGUCUUCAAUUUAUGAAAGAUGAUCAAUGGUUUAGGGCUCCCAUUGUUCCUGAGGGGCUUCUCAUUGUUGUUGGUGAUCAAAUAGAGGUAACUAAAGCUUUAAAUAUCUUUGUAUAUCAAUUUUUUUAGCUAAGAUCAACUAACUGCCAUCAAAACCUGGUCUUUGUGAUGCACAGAUAUUGACUAAUGGACUGGUCAAGAGCCCUGUGCACAAGGUAGUGAUAAAUGGAGAAAAGGAGAGGAUUUCUGUGGCUGUGUUCUGUGUCCCGGAUUCAGAGACAGAGAUUGAACCCUUUGAAAGCCUCAUCAAUGAGUCAAGGCCAAGGUUGUACAAAAAGCUGAAAAAUUACGUUGAGAUCUAUUUUGAACACUUCCUGCAGGGAAGAAGGCCAAUUGAAGCAGCACUAAUAUGAUCUCUGAAUAUGAAUCUCUUAUGUCUUGUAGCAUGUUAAAGAUGAAUAAACUUGUAUUACUUAUGGAAAUGGUGGCAUGAUUCCUAAGCAAAUUUUGUUGUUUUCAUUUUUUUCUAUUUUUAAUCUGGUUAUAACUUCUAAUGGGAUGAGGAAAGAAUCGGGUAGCUUAAAAUUACGAAAGAAAAAUCAUUCAAAGUGUGGGAAACAAUACUUACAGGAGCUUCCCUAACAACUUUGGAUAAUGGCUGUGUCCAAAGUUGGAUAUGGAAAUACAUUAUCAGUUCUAAGUUCUGAUAAUGGCUGUGUCCAAAGUGUGGGAAACAAUACUUACAGGAGCUUCACAUAUUGAAGGAUAUGGGAAUGACAUGGUAUUUUCAGAGCAGCAGACACUUGAUUGGACUGACAGACUAUACCUUACAGUAUAUCCACCAGACAAGCGCAAGCUAAAGUUUUGGCCUGAAAAUCCCAAAUCUUUUAGGUAACAUACUAGCAUAUAUGAUCAGAACUUAGAACUCAAACUUUUUAUCAAGCAAUUAAUAGAUGGUUAUUGAUCCUAUUACUGAUGUACACUGCAGGGAUACUCUAGACCAAUAUACCAGUAAGUUACAGGUGAUAACUGAAACUGUCCUUAAGGGCAUGGCUCGGUCAUUGAAUUUGGAGGAAGAUUGCUUUCUGAACAAGUAUGGAGAACAAAGGAAAAUGGAUGCUAGGUUCAACUUCUAUCCUCCAUGUUCUAGGCCUGAUCGCGUACUCGGUACCAAGCCGCAUGCAGAUGAAACAUUAAUAACCCUUCUGUUGCAAGAUAAAGAAGUGGAAGGUCUUCAAUUUAUGAAAGAUGACCAAUGGUAUAGGGCUCCCAUUGUUCCGGAGGCGCUUCUCAUUAAUGUUGGUGAUCAAGCUGAGGUAACUAAAGCUUCAAAUGUGUUUGUAUCUCAAUGGUUUCGGCUAUAACUAAUUUCCAUUAAAACCUGUUCAUUUUGACGCACAGAUAUUGAGCAAUGGACUGUUCAAGAGUCCAGUGCACAAGGUUGUAACAAAUGCAGAAAAGGAGAGGAUAUCCUUGGCUGUGUUCUGUGUCCCGGAUUCAGAGACAGAGAUUGAACCCUUUGAAAGCCUCAUCAAUGAGUCAAGGCCAAGGUUGUACAAAAAGCUGAGGAACUACGUUGGCAUCUAUUUCGAGUACUACCAGCAGGGAAGAAGACCAAUUGAAGCAGCAAUAAUAUAACCUCUGGUUAUGUAUCUCUUAUGGCUUGUACCAAGAGACGAAUAAAGUUGUAUUACUGAGAAGAUGGUGGCAUGAUUCCUCAGCAGAUACUGUUAUUUAAGUUUUCUUCUAUUUUAUCUUAACAUGGUUUUAACUUCUAAAGUUGAUGAAGAUAGAAAUUUUGAAGCAUGAAAUUAAUAAAGAUCGUCAUUCAUACCAAGUAAAAGGUAUAAACUAUACACCAAAAAUUGUUGGCAGGAUCUUAUUUAUAUGGAUGUAAACAAAGUGAGGGAAAGAACACAUAUAGGAGCUGCUUUGGAUGAUGGCAAUGUCUUCUCAUCGAUCAAUCUUUCAAUUUCUUCUUCAUGCAAUGCAUUCGACUUCAAUAUUGCUCAGGAACAACCAUUGCCACAAUCUCUUCCAUGAAGGUUCCAUCAAUUGGUUCUGUUGCAAUCAAUGAAGGUUUUAUAGAUAUGCUACAGCAAGGAAUAGAUCAUCCGAGGACUACCGUUAACAAUUCAAACAGACCCUGCUGCUACAAUUUUCUAAGCUCACACAUAAAUUGAAGUGAUUUCUUUCAAGUGUAUUUAUAUGACAUAAAAUGAUUACGGAAAUGCAGUCCUGGUACCUUAGCUUCAUAGUUGCUGUUUUAGUGUUCAAAUCUUUAUGUCAGACUAAUGUUUGCAAGACAUAUUAACUACACACUUGGUUAUAUACAACAAUACAUACCCUGCACUACUUGCUACACACAGAAUUCCAAUAUAGCAAAAACUACAAAUUCCUUAUAUAACAACACUUAUAUUGAAGCUUAUAAGGUUACGUUAAGCAUAAAGAGCAGCCGGUGACGGCGGUAUCCGGCCGAGUCUGGGUCGCCGGAGAGAGAUGAGAGAAGACGGCCAGACCAAGAGACGUCGAUCAAGACCCGCAGAAGUCUAUAGUUUUAGUCAUUUUGGUUUUAUUUUUAUUUUUAAAGGUGGGCCAACCAUCCUGCCUAGGCCCAACUAAACAAAGUUCCGCCUAGAGGGCCCAAAGCUCCGCCUAGCCCGAUUAAGGCCCAGUUCUCCAUAUACCUCUUUUUUUCUGAACAGGUACCUCUUAGUUUCUCAUCCGUUUUUCACGAUGAGGUCCAGUUUCCCGUCCAUCUUCUCCGGCGAGAAGUAGACCGACCGUUGUGUUUUCAUGGAUGCUUGGUCGUCCAACAUACCUUCAUUUGUUCUAUAUGAAAGGAAGCAAGCUUUGCCUUGUCCAGACUCUCCACCUUGGUUACUUUCUGCUCUAAUAACUUGUGUCAGUUGUGUGUUGUAGACUUGUAGUUAUGCAUGUGAAUCAUCUGUGUUACUUCGUUUUUAUGUUCGUUCAGUUAGUGUUGAUUUGAAGACGAAUGUUGGAAACUUGGAAUGACCAGAAGAACUGUGAAAAUGCAAUGUAAAAAGGAUGAACAAUUAGAUAAAAACCGACACACACACUCAUACCAAGUGAUAGGCUAUUAUAUUAAUUCUGUGAUCAUAAUCAUAGGCUAUUAUAUUAAGUCUAGUGCAACAAAGUCCAACUCUUCAGCCAUUUGCUUAUCAUAAAAGCACUCAGAAAUUUGCAGCUAAAUCUACAAAAACCCUCUACAAAAUCCACACAGGAAGAAAGACAUGGCUGAGUCUUACUCUCCUGCCAAGCUCGAGUUAUUUGCAACCAGAUCUGUGCAAGAGCAACUCGCUGAAGGUGAACUACUAGUACCAUCACAGAAAUAUAUUCUCAAAGAUGGAAUCACACUUCCAGAUGCUUCUGUUGACUUGAUGGAUGUUCCGGUUAUUGAUCUUGGUCUCCUCACACCUUCCUCAAUCAGUGAAGAAGAAUUUGACAAACUAAGAUCAGCUCUAACCAAAUGGGGUUGCUUUCAGGUAUGAAUUCAAACAACUGAGAAACUCUUAGAAGUCAGAAGACACUAGAUCUGAAGUUCUAUGAUGGUACAUUUGCUAUGUAUAACAUUUUUGAGGCUGCUUAUUGUGAUUUCCAGGUAAUAAACCAUGGAAUGACUCCAGAAUUCCUUGACAAAGUCCGUGAAGUCACGAAACAAUUCUUUGCAAUGCCCCUGGAAGAGAAGCAUAAAUAUUUGAGGCCAGCCGACGAUAUUGAAGGAUAUGGGAAUGACAUGGUUUUUUCAGAGGAGCAAACACUUGAUUGGACAGACAGACUAUACCUUAAUGUUUAUCCACCAGACCUGCGCAAGCUAAAGUUUUGGCCUGAAAAUCCCAUAUCUUUUAGGUAACGUGCUCACAUAUUUGAUCAGAACUUAGAACUGAACUUUUUAUCAAGGAAUCAAAAGGUGGUUAUUGAUCCUGAUAGUGAUUUACAAUGCAGGGAUACUCUAGACCAGUAUAUCAGUCAGUUACAGGUGAUAACAGAAACUGUCCUUAAGGGCAUGGCGCGGUCAUUGAAUUUGGAGGAAGAUUGCUUUCUGGACAAGUAUGGAGAACAAAGGAAAAUGCAGGCUAGGUUCUGCUUCUAUCCUCCAUGUUCAAGGCCCGAUCGCGUACUCGGUGUCAAGCCACAUGGAGAUGGAUCACUGAUCACCCUUCUGUUGCAAGAUAAAGAAGUGGAAGGUCUUCAAUUUCUGAAAGAUAAUCAAUGGUUUAGAGCUCCAAUUGUUGCCGAGGCUCUUCUCAUUAAUGUUGGUGAUCAAGCAGAGGUAACUAAGGGUUCAAAUGUCUUUGUAUCUCGAUAUUUUGGCUAAAAUUAAUUCCCAUCAAAACCUGUUCCUUUUGAUGCACAGAUAUUGAGCAAUGGACUGUUCAAGAGCCCAGUGCACAAGGUAGUGACAAAUGCAGAGAAGGAGAGGAUUUCUUUGGCUGUGUUCUGUCUUCCGGAUUCAGAGACAGAGAUUGGACCCUUUGAAAGCCUCAUCAAUGAGUCAAGGCCAAGGUUGUAUAAAAAUCUGAAAAACUACCUUGGCUUCUAUUUCCAAUACUACCAGCAGGGAAGAAGACCAAUUGAGGCAGCAAUAAUAUAACACCUCUAUAUAUCUCUUAUGGCUUGUACCAAAAGAUGAAUAAAGUUGUAUUACUGAGAAGAUGGUGGCAUGAUUCCUAAGCAAAUUUUGUUAUCUUCAUUUUCUUCUAUUUUAUCUUAAUUUGGUUAAACAAUGUAUACAGGACCUUUGUCUUCUUACCGAUCCAUCGCUAAUUGCUUCUUCCUGCAACGCAUCCUACUUAAAUAACGCAGUUGUGCACUAUUGCACAAGAAAAACCAAUGCAACAAUAAUCUCUUCCAAGAAGGUUUCAUCAUCGGAUUUGUUGCAAUCCAUGAAGCUUUUACAGAUAUGCUACAGCAUCCUCCAUGAAGGUUUGUUAAUUGGUUGAUGCAUUCCAUUAAGUUUUUACAGUACUUAGCUUCAUGGUUGCUAACUUGCUGUAUUAGUGUUCAAAUCUUUAUAUCAUAAUCACUGUCUAUAAGUUCUGGUCAUCCAUCCAAGGUUUCAUAUCUGUCAAUAUGCCUAUAUUUUCCUCCAUAUAUCCAUUUUUUUAGCUUGGUAUAUCAUACAGGGAUAAUAUCUUAACUUUCUUUGACUCGAGAGAUAUUAAAUAUCAUAGAUUUGGGAGGAACAUUAAGUUUUGAGUGUAAUCCCUGACUGAAACUAAUCUAAACAAAGCUCCAUUAUUGAUUCAUUGGACAACAAGAAGAAAAAAAAAGAAUAAAAAAAAAAAGUAACUCAAUUAUUCACAUAAAAACAUACCUAGGUUUCACUUUCAAAAAGUUACUCAAUUACCCCAUGCCUCAAUUAUAUGGAGGUUUCAGGAAAAGAAAACAAGAAUCCAAAGAUGAUGACAUGCAUAGUUCAUAAGCUGAGUCAUGACUAGCUAGUGUGGACAAGAACUAGCCAACAUUUCAGAACCCUACACUAGCUGCCGUAUUCCAGAAGUGACCCUUUUUCAUUGGCCUAUAAAAUUACCCUAUCUCUCCCUCUGAAUUCAUCAACAAGGAAAUACUUGUGUCAUUUGCUUAUCAUUGAAGCAGCGAGGCACUUGCAUCUAAAUCUACAAAAACCCUUUACAGAAUCCACACAGAAAGUAAGACAUGGCUGAAUCAUCCACUCCUGCAAAGUUUGAGUUAUUAGCAACCAAAACUGUGCAAGAGCAACUCACUGAAGUAGAAAUACUAGUACCACAGAACUACAUUCUCAAAGAUGGAAUCCCACUUCCAGAUCCUUCUGUUGAGUUUAUGGAUGUUCCGGUGAUUGAUCUUGGUCUCCUUACACCUUACUCAGAAGGUGUCGAAGAACUUGACAAACUCAGAUCAGCUCUUAUUACAGGGUGUUGCUUUCAUGUAUGAAUUCAAACAACUUGAGGAACUCUUAGAAGUUAGAAAAAUAGAACUAAUACCAAAUUCUGUGAUGGUAGGCUUUUUAUGUAUAACAGUUUGAGGCUGCUUAUUGUGUUUGACUGUUUUCUAGGUAAUAAACCAUGGAAUGACAGCUGAAUUCCUUGACGAAGUACGUGAAAUCAUAAAACAGUUUUUCGCAAUUCCAGUGGAAGAGAAGCAGAAAUAUCUGAGGGAAGUCAACGAUUUUGAAGGAUAUGGGAAUGACAUGGUACUUUCAGAGCAGCAAACACUUGAUUGGACUGACAGACUAUACCUUACUGUAUAUCCACCAGACCAGCGCAAGUUGAAGUUUUGGCCUGAAAAUCCCAUAUCUUUUAGGUAACAUCUAUGGUCAGAACUCAGAAUUCCCCUAUUUAUGAAGUGAUUGAAAGAUGGUUAUUGAUCCUUCGAAUGAUGUUCUCUGCAGGGAUACUCUAGACCAAUUUACCAGUAGGUUACAGGUCAUAACAGAAACUAUCCUUAUGAGCAUGGCGAGGUCAUUGAAUUUGGAGGAAGAUUGCUUUAUGGACAAGUAUGGAGAACAAAGGAAAAUGGAGGCUAGGUUUAACUUAUAUCCUCCAUGUUCAAGGCCUGAUUGUGUCCUUGGUUUCAAGCCACAUUCAGAUAGUUCAAUAAUCACCAUUGUCUUGCAAGACAAAGAAGUGGAAGGUCUUCAAUUUCUGAAAGAUGAUCGAUGGUUUAGGGCUCCCAUUGUUCCUGAGGCGCUUCUCAUUAAUGUUGGUGAUCAAGUAGAGGUAACUAAGAUUCUAAAUGUCUUUGAAUCUCAAUGUCUUGGUUAUGACUAUCUAACUGCCAUCAAAACCUGAUCUUUGUGAUUCAUAGAUAAUGACUAAUGGACUGUUCAAGAGCCCAGUGCACAAGGUAGUGAUAAAUGGAGAAAAGGAGAGGAUUUCUUUGGCUGUGUUCUGUUUCCCAGAUUCAGGGACAGAGAUUAAACCCUUUGAUUGCCUCAUCAAUGAGUCAAGGCCAAGGUUGUACAAAAAGAUAAAAAACUACGGUGACAUCUUUUUCGAAUACUACCAGCAGGGAAGAAGACCAAUCGAAGCAGCAAUAAUGUAACCUUCAGUAUGUCUCAUAACUUUGUCAGUUGUGUGUAGUAGACUUGUAGUUAUGCAUGUGAAUCAUCUGUGUUACUUCGUUUUUAUGUUCAGUUAGUAUUGAUGUGAAGAUGAAUGUUGGAAACUUGGAAUGAACAGAAGAACUGUGAAAAUGCAAUGUAAAAAGGAUGAACAAUUAGAUAAAAACCGAAAGACACGAAAUAAAAACCGACGCACAGACACUCAUACCAACUAAUAUCACAGACCACAGGCAUGAGUCUUAUCGAUUUUCAUGGAUGCUCUGUUUAGCCUCCCACUUCUUUGGCUUUUUCCUCUUCAUGCUGACGUUCAACUAUUGACACCGUGUAAUGACUAACGUGGAUACAGCAUAGAAGCCUAUCCCAAUCAUAAUCCCCUUCUCAUCUUAACACAUUAAAGCCCAAACCCUUUUGCAAAAUCCAUACAGAAAGAAAGACAUGGCUGAUCAAUCUUCCACUCCUGCCAAGGUCGAGUUUUUAGCUACCAAAACUGUGCAGGAGCAACUCACUGAAGGAGAACUACUAGUACCACCACCGAAAUAUAUUCUCAAAGAUGGAAUCCCAUGUCCGAAUGCUUCUCUUGAGUUGAUGGAUGUUCCAAUUAUUGAUCUUGGUCUCCUCAUCCCUUCCUCAAUCAGUGUGGAAGAACUUGACAAACUCAGAUCAGCUCUUACCGCGCGGUUGCUUUCAGGUUUGAACUUAAAUAACAAGAAGUGAAUUUGUUAGUAGUUAGGAGUUAGGACAAUGGAUGAUAUUCCAAUACCAAGUUCGUUAGAUGGUAGACUUGCUAUGUAUAACAUGUUUGAGGCUGCUUAUUGUGUUUUUCAGGUAAUAAACCAUGGAAUGACUCUUGAAUUCCUUGACAAAGCCCGUGAAAUCACCAAGCAGUUUUUCGCAAUGCCAGUGGAAGAGAAGCAGAAAUAUUUGAGGCCAGUUGAUGAUUUUGAAGGAUAUGGGAAUGACAUGGUUGUUUCAGAGCAGGAAACACUUGAUUGGACUGACAGACUAUACCUUACUGCAUAUCCACCAGACCAGCGCAAGCUCAAGUUGUGGCCUGAAAAUCCCAAAUCUUUCAGGUAACACAUAUAAUCAGAAAUCAGAACUUCGAACUGACCUUUUUAUCAAGCAAUCAAAAGAUGGUUAUUGAUGCUAUAAAUGAUGUAAACUGCAGGGAUACUAUAGACCAAUAUACCAGUAAGUUACAGGUGAUAACUGAAACUGUCCUUAAGGGCAUGGCUCGGUCAUUGAAUUUGGAGGAAGAAUGCUUUGUGAACAUGUAUGGAGAACAAAGGAAAAUGGAUGCUAGGUUUAACUUAUAUCCUCCACAUUCAAGGCCUGAUUGUGUCCUUGGUUUCAAGCCGCAUUCAGAUAGUUCAAUAAUCACCAUUAUUUUGCAAGAUAAAGAAGUGGAAGGUCUUCAAUUUAUGAAAGAUGAUCAAUGGUUUAGGGCUCCCAUUGUUCCUGAGGGGCUUCUCAUUGUUGUUGGUGAUCAGAUAGAGGUAACUAAAGCUUUAAAUGUAUUUCUAUUUCAAUUGUUUUAGCUAAGAUCAACUAACUGCCAUCAAAACCUGGUCUUUGUGAUGCACAGAUAUUGACUAAUGGACUGUUCAAGAGCCCUGUGCACAAGGUAGUGAUAAAUGGAGAAAAGGAGAGGAUUUCUGUGGCUGUGUUCUGUGUCCCGGAUUCAGAGACAGAGAUUGAACCCUUUGAAAGCCUCAUCAAUAAAUCAAGGCCAAGGUUGUACAAAAAGCUGAAAAACUACGUUGAGAUCUAUUUCAAAUACUUCCUGCAGGGAAGAAGACCAAUUGAAGCACACUAAUAUAAUCUCUGAAUAUAAAUCUCUUAUGUUUUGUAGCAAGUUAAAGAUGAAUAAACUUGUAUUACUUAUGGAAAUGGUGGCAUGAUUCCUAAGCAAAUUUUGUUGUUUUCAUUUUUUUCUAUUUUUAAUCUGGUUAUAACUUCUAAUGGGAUGAGGAAAAAAUCGGGUAGCUUAAAAUUACGAAAGAAAAAUCAUUCAAAGUGUGGGAAACAAUACUUACAGGAGCUUCCCUAACAACUUUGGAUAAUGGCAGUGUCUUCUUACAGAUCCAUCAUCAAUAUUGCUUCUUCAUGCAAUGCAUUUGACCUCAAUAACUCAGUUGUCCACUAUUGCUCAAGAACAACCAUUGCCACAAUCUCUUUCAUGAAGGUUUGAUUACCUGGAAUUUUGCAAUCCAUGAAGGUUUUACAGAUAUGCUUCAGAAGGGAAUAGACAAUCUGAGGAUUACGUUAACAACCAACAGACCCUGUUGCUAUAACAUUAUAAGCUCACACAUAAACUGAAGUCAUUUCUUUCAAAUUUAUAUGCAUGACAAAAAUUGAUUAGGGGAAAUGCAAUACUAGUUAUUAGGUUCAUAGUAGCUAUUUUAGUGUUCAAAUCUUUGUAUAAGAAUAACCUUUGUAUAAGAAGACAUACCCUGCAACAGUUGCUACACACAAAUUAUUGACACAAACCACCAAAGGCAACCGCUACGGCCUGUGAGCACUAUUCCAAAUGGAUCUGAAAUUUCUCAAUAGUUGUUAAAACUAUGAAUGCUAUGAGAGAGGAGAAGUACCACUUGAAACACUAUAGAUCAAGACUUUACUUCUAACUAAAUUGUCUAAUCAUAGGCUAUUAUAUUAAGUCUAGUGGAAAAAAAGUCCAACUCCUCAGCCAUUUGCUUAUCAUAAAAGCACUCAGAAAUUUGCAGCUAAAUCUACAAAAACCCUUCACAAAAUCCACACAGUAAGAAAGACAUGGCUAAAUCUUCCACUCCUGCCAAGUUCGAGUUAUUAGCAACCAAAACUGUCCAAGAGCAACUCAUUGAAGGAGAAGUACUGGUACCCCCACCGAAACUUAGAACUCAACUUUUUAUCAAGCAAUCAAUAGAUGGUUAUUGAUCCUAUUACUGAUGUACACUGCAGGGAUACUCUAGACCAAUAUACCAGUAAGUUACAGGUGAUAACAGAAACAGUCCUUAAGGGCAUGGCGCGGUCAUUGAAUUUGGAGGAAGAUUGCUUUCUGAACAAGUAUGGAGAACAAAGGAAAAAGGAUGCUAGGUUCAACUUCUAUCUUCCAUGUUCUAGGCCUGAUCGCGUACUCGGUACCAAGCCACAUGCAGAUGGAACAUUAAUAACCCUUCUGUUGCAAGAUAAAGAAGUGGAAGGUCUUCAAUUUAUGAAAGAUGACCAAUGGUAUAGGGCUCCCAUUGUUCCGGAGGCGCUUCUCAUUAAUGUUGGUGAUCAAGCUGAGGUAACUAAAGCUUCAAAUGUGUUUGUAUCUCAAUGGUUUUGGCUAUAACUAAUUGCCAUUAAAACCCGUUCAUUUUGAUGCACAGAUAUUGAGUGAGCAAUGGACUGUUCAAGAGUCCAGUGCACAAGGUUCUAACAAAUGCAGAAAAGGAGAGGAUAUCCUUGGCUGUGUCCUGUGUCCCCGAUUCAGAGACAGAGAUUGAACCCUUUGAAAGCCUCAUCAAUGAGUCAAGUCCAAGGUUGUACAAAAAGCUGAAGAACUACGUGUUGAGAUUGGUGAUUCAUUCUCAUGCAACAAGGAACCAUGUGAUAGUUUGAUGCAGCAAAUAUUGACAUGGGUGAAUAGCUAGCUAUGCUAUAUCUACGUACAAAGCAAUAAAUGAUGUUUGUGGAAUUGAAGGUAUAAGGAAGUCUUCUAUGGUGUGCUUGCAGCAAAAUGAAUAGGAAGGAAGAAAAAGGAGUUCCCUUUUUCACAUGAAUAGAUGUUGCCUAUAAAUUGGCUGCAUGGAAACCAUUUGAAGCAUGCAAGCAAGUUUGCAUCAAGUAAGCAUCGGACAAGCAAUAGAGAGCUUGUGGGUUGUGCAUGAGAGUGAGAGAAAAAAGUGCUAAGAGGGAAAUUCUCUUAGGUGAGAUAUAGUGUUCUUGGGUAUUCUAUGAGUGAGGGUGUACAAGGGUUUGGAAUUUGGGUUAUGAGAUUUAACUCAUGUAUCUUGUACUAGUUUUAUUUUCAUAGUGGAAGAGCUAUAUUUUGGGGUGGACGUAGGCAGGAAAUUUGCCGAACCACGUUAAAUCUCGUGUCAACUGUGUUUUUCAUCCUUGUUUGUUAUUCUGCUUUAUUGCGGUGUUGUUGGGUGUAUAUGUUUCUGAAUCUCGAUUUGUUCGUGGGGUUAAAAUCCCAACACUACGUUGGCAUCUAUUUCGAGUACUACCAGCAGGGAAGAAGACCAAUUGAAGCAGCAAUAAUAUAACCUCUGGAAUAGAUCAGCCGAGGACUACUGUUAACAAUUCAAACAGACGCUGCUGCUACAACUUUCUAAGCUCACACAUAAAUUGAAGUGAUUUCAUUCAAAUGUAUUUUUUUAUAUGACAUAAAAUGAUUAGGGAAAUGCAGUCCUGGUACCUUAGCUUCAUAGUUGCUGUUUUAGUGUUCAAAUCUUUAUAUCAGACUAAUGUUUGCAAGACAUAUUAACUACACACUUGGUUAUAUACAACAAUACAUACCCUGCACUACUUGCUACACACAGAAUAUCCUUAUAUGAAGAAAGGAACAACACUUACAUUGCAGCUUAUAAGGUUACCUUAAGCAUAAAGAGCAGCCGGUGACGGCGGUCUCCGGCCAAGUCUGGGUCGCCGGAGAGAGAUGAGAAAUGAGAGAAUAUAGUUUUAGUCAUUUUGGUUUUUUAUUUUUUAUUUUUUUAAAGAUGCGCCAACCAUCUUGCCUAGGCCCAACUAAACAAAGAUCCACCUAGAGGGCCCAAAGCUCCGCCUAGCCCGAUUAAGGCCCAGUUCUCCAUAUACCUCUUUUUUCUGAACAGGUACCUCUUAGUUUCUCAUCCUUUUUUCACGAUGAGGUCCAGUUUCUCGUCCAUCUUCUCCGGCGAGAAGUAGACCGACCGUUGUGUUUUCAUGGAUGCUUGGUCGUCCAACAUACCUUCCAUUUGUUCUAUAUGAAAGGAAGCAAGCUUUGCUUUGUCCAGACUCUCCACCUUGGUUACUUUCCGCUCUAAUAACUUGUGUCAGUUGUGUGUUGUAGACUUGUAGUUAUGCAUGUGAAUCAUCUGUGUUUCUUCGUUUUUAUGUUCAGUUAGUGUUGAUUUGAAGAUGAAUGUUGGAAACUGUUGGGUUUCACGCAGCGGAUUGGUCAACAAGAUACGAUAUCAAGAAUGCAAUUAUAAUAGGGAAAAACAAACACACAACAACACAAGAUUUAACGUGGUUCCCUCACUCUUUGAGAUACGUCCACGGGGCGUGAUCCGAUCUUUCUUUACAAUUGAGAAUAAUGAGAACUAAAUGCAAGGUGUUUCACUCAGGUUUAUAACCCAAACUCGAACCCUUGAACCGUUGUACACCCCUCUCAACUCACACUCUCAAUACCCAAUAAAGCUAACUCUCUUAUAAUACUUGACAAAUAAUGAAAUUCUCUCUAAAUAAGAAACUAAACAACUCGGAUGCCACAUUACACAAUGCCAAUGUCGAAUGGCUGUUUAUAGCCAACUCCUUCUCUUACAACAUGCAAAACCAUGCAUAGAAGAAAAGCAAAGUCUUGCUUUUCCAUCUUUCCCGUUCAAUGUUUCUACACCCAAUAGCAUGAAACUAUUACCAAUAGUUCUCAACUAUUGUUUUCUCUACAUGCAUGUUCUCACUCUUUCUCUAUGCAUUCCCACAACAAUAAUGCAUGGAUGUAGGCUAGCUUGUUCACUUUCUUCAAAUAUGGCUGCACCUCCCUAGCGAUAUCUAGUUCCAUAGCACAAUAAAUGACUAACUCCUCAUGCAUUUACCAAAUUCUGUGAAGGUUUAGGGUAUUUCCAAUACUACCAGCAGGGAAGAAGAGCAAUUGAAGCAGCUUUAAUAUGACCUCAGAUUAUGUAUCUCUUAUGGCUUGUACCAAAAGAUGAAUAAAGUUGUAUAACUGAGAAGAUGGUGGCAUGAUUCCUAAGCAAAUUUUGUUAUUUUCGUUUUCUUCUAUUUUAUCUUAAUUUGGUUCUAACUUCUAAAGGGAUCAAGAUAGAAUCGGAGAAGCAUAAAAUAAAGAAAGAUCAUUAUUGGGAGUACAGGAAACAAUGUAUACAGGACCUAUGUCUUCUUACCGAUCCAUCGCUAAUUGCUUCUUCCCGCAACGCAUCCUACUUAAAUAACGCAGUUGUGCACUAUUGCACAAGAAAAACAAAUGCAACAAUAAUCUCUUCCAUGAAGGUUUCAUCAUCGGAUUUGUUGCAAUCCAUGAAGCUUUUACAGAUAUGCUACAGCAUCCUCCAUGAAGGUUUGUUAAUUGGUUCAUGCAUUCCAUUAAGUUUUUUACUACAUAUACAGACCCUGCUGCUAUGGCAUCACAGAAUGAUUAGGGAAAUCCGGAAAUGCAAUCCUAGUACUUAGCUGCAUGGUUGCUAACUUGCUGUAUUAGUGUUCAAAUCUUUAUAUCAUAAUCACUUUCUAUAAGUUCUGGUCAUCCAUCCAAGGUUUCAUAUCUGCCAAUAUGCCUAUAUUUUCCACCAUAUAUCCAUUUUUUUAGCUUGGUAUAUCAUACAGGGGUAAUAUCUUAACUUUCUUUGACUCGAGAAAUAUCAAAUAUCAUAGAUUUGGGAGGAACAUUAAGUUUUGAGUGGAAAAAUAACCCUAAAUUGGUUCUGUAAUCCCUGACUGAAACCAAUCUAAACAAAGCUCCAUUAUUGAUUCAUUGGACAACAAGAGAAAACAAAAGAAAAAAAAAAAUGUAACUCAAUUAUUCACAUAAAAACAUACCUCAAGGAGGUUUCACAUAAAAACAUACCUCAAGGAGGUUUCACUUUCAAAAAGCAACUCAAUUACAUGGAGGUUUCAGGAAAAGAAAACAAGAACCCAAAGAUGAUCACAUGCAUAGUUCAUAUGAUGACGUAUAUGCAUAGUUCAUAAGCUGAGUCAUGACUAGUUAGUGUGGACAAGAACUAACCAACAUUUCAGAACCCUAAACUAGCUAGCGUAGAACCUAACUUCGGUGACAAGGGUUUGUCACCCUAAGAUGACCAUAGCCAAUGAACAUGGGACACGUGUCCAAUUUAAAAGGCUUUGCUGUAAUUUAAGGACAUAAGCUGAGUCAUGACUAGCUUGUGUGGACAAGAACUAUCCAACAUUUCAGAACCCUAUACUAGCUGGCGUAGAACCCGAUUUCGGUGACAAGGGUUUGUCACCUUAAGAUGACCACAGCUAAUGAACAUGGGACACGUGUCCAAUUUAAAAGGCUUUAUUGCAAUUUAAAGACAUAACAGCGGGAUUUUAGGUAUUUUACAUGUUUGUUUAUAAUUAUUGUUGACACUUGUCCAUCUCUCAUUGGUGUUUGUCACUCAUAAAUGACUAUAGUUGGUCACCCAAGUUAUUUCCGCUGGCUGGCGUAUUCCAGAAGUGACCAUUUUUUAUUGGCCAAUAAAAUUAUCCUCUCUCUCCCUCUCCGAAUUCUUCAACAAGGAAAUACUUGUGUCAUUUGCUUAUCAUUGAAGCAGCAAGGCACUUGCAGCUAAAUCUACAAAAACCCUUUACAGAAUCCACACAGAAAGAAAGACAUGGCUGAAUCUUCCACUCUUGCAAAGUUUGAGUUAUUAGCAACCAAAACUGUGCAAGAGCAACUCACUGAAGUAGAAACACUAGUACCACAGACCUACAUUCUCAAAGAUGGAAUCCCACUUCUAGAUCCUUCUGUUGAGUUGAUGGAUAUUCCCAGUAGCAGAUCUAGGAUUUGAACAUGGGGUAAUUUUAUAUACAACCAUGCAAAAUGUAGGAACUCAUUAAUAAGUCUUCAAAAAAAAGUAGGCGUCAAUGAAAGUAAAAGAAAUUUUUAAAAAUCAAAGAAAAAUUUGAAAACUCAACAAAAUUACCCCAAAAGUUUGGAUUUUUUUAGAUUUAAGAAGGAGAAGACUAGAAAACUAGAAGAAAGAGCGAUUGAUGAAUUGAGGAACUGAAGAAUAAAGACGGAAUCACGUAUAAAAAAAAGAGAGGAGAUGCACAGCUAGUCGGGAAGUAAUUAGGUGGGCUUGACUGAACAAAAAUACAUAUAUACAAAAAAAAACAUAAUAUACCUAGGAAUUUUUUUAACUCCAAAAACUUGGUUGGACUUGAGCCCUACCAACCCUUGCUUUGGCUCCGCCCCUAGUCUCGGUCACGUGUCAAUGGGUUGAGGGCUUCUUUGGGCUACAUGUGUUCUUCUGGCUUGGUGACGUGUGCGAUGGCGUGCCAACUCGCGGCCAAGAGGUCAAAUGAGGUUUUAUUCUGAUAUGUAGUUGUUGCACUGCCCUGAUUUCUGAUCAGUCGACUGUGGGCCGAGGAAUGNNNNNNNNNNNNNNNNNNNNCUCCAAAAACUUGGUUGGACUUGAACCUUACCAACCUUUGCUUUGGCUCCGCCCUUGGAUAUUCCGGUGAUUGAUCUUGGUCUCCUUACACCUUACUCAUAAGGUGUGGAAGAACUUGACAAACUCAGAUCAGCUCUUAUUACAGGGUGUUGCUUUCAUGUAUGAUUCAAACAACUUGAGGAACUCUUAGAAGUUUGAAAAAUAGAACUAAUACCAAAUUCUGUGAAGGUUUAGGGUAUUUCCAAUACUACCAGCAGGGAAGAAGAGCAAUUGAAGCAUCUUUAAUAUGACCUCUGAUUAUGUAUCUCUUAUGGCUUGUACCAAAAGAUGAAUAAAGUUGUAUUACUGAGAAGAUGGUGGCAUGAUUCCUAAGCAAAUUUUGUUAUUUUCGUUUUCUUCUAUUUUAUCUUAAUUUGGUUCUAACUUCUAAAGGGAUCAAGAUAGAAUCGGAGAAGCAUAAAAUAAAGAAAGAUCAUUAUUGGGAGUACAGGAAACAAUGUAUACAGGACCUAUGUCUUCUUACCGAUCCAUCGCUAAUUGCUUCUUCCCGCAACGCAUCCUACUUAAAUAACGCAGUUGUGCACUAUUGCACAAGAAAAACCAAUGCAACAAUAAUCUCUUCCAUGAGGGUUUCAUCAUCGGAUUUGUUGCAAUCCAUGAAGCUUUUACAGAUAUGCUACAGCAUCCUCCAUGAAGGUUUGUUAAUUGGUUCAUGCAUUCCAUUAAGUUUUUACACAUAUACAGACCCUGCUGCUAUGGCAUCACAGAAAUGAUUAGGGAAAUCCGGAAAUGCAAUCCUAGUACUUAGCUGCAUGGUUGCUAACUUGCUGUAUUAGUGUUCAAAUCUUUAUAUCAUAAUCACUUUCUAUAAGUUCUGGUCAUCCAUCCAAGGUUUCAUAUCUGCCAAUAUGCCUAUAUUUUCCACCAUAUAUCCAUUUUUUUAGCUUGGUAUAUCAUACAGGGGUAAUAUCUUAACUUUCUUUGACUCGAGAAAUAUCAAAUAUCAUAGAUUUGGGAGGAACAUUAAGUUUUGAGUGGAAAAAUAACCCUAAAUUGGUUCUGUAAUCCCUGACUGAAACCAAUCUAAACAAAGCUCCAUUAUUGAUUCAUUGGACAACAAGAGAAAACAAAAAAGAAAAAAAAAAUAAUAGUAACUCAAUUAUUCACAUAAAAACAUACCUCAAGGAGGUUUCACUUUCAAAGAGCAACUCAAUUACCCCGUGCCUCAAUUAAAUGGAGGUUUCAGGAAAAGAAAACAAGAACCCAAAGAUGAUGACAUGCAUAGUUCAUAUGACGACGUACAUGCAUAGUUCAUAAGCUGAGUCAUGACUAGCUAGUACGGACAAGAACUAGCCAACAUUUCAGAACCCUACACUAGCUGGCGUAGAACCCGACUUCGGUGAAAAAGAUUUGUCACCUUAAGAUGACUACAACUAAUGAACAUGAACAUGGGACACGUGUCCAAUUUAAAAGGCUUUACUGCUAUUUAAGGACAUAAUUAACAUGGGGAUUUUGGGUAUUUGACAUGUUUGUUUAUCAUUAUUGUUGAUACUUGUCCAUCUCUCAUUGGUGUUUUUCACUCAUAAAUGACUAUAGCUGGUCACCCAAGUUAUUUCUAAUGGCGUAAUAUUCCAGAAGUGACCCCUUUUUAUUGGCCAAUAAAAUUAUCUUCUCUCUCCCUCUCCGAAUUCUUCAACAAAGAAAUACUUGUGUCAUUUGCUUAUCAUUGAAGCAGCAAGGCACUCGCAGCUAAAUCUACAAAAACCCUUUACAGAAUCCACACAGAAAGAAAGACUUGGCUAAAUCUUCCACUCCUGCAAAGUUUGAGUUAUUAGCAACCAAAACUGUGCAAGAGCAACUCACUGAAGUAGAAAUACUAGUACCACAGAACUACAUUCUCAAAGAUGGAAUCCCACUUCCAGAUCCUUCAAUUCUGUUGAGUUGAUGGAUAUUCCUAGUGGCAGAUCUAGGAUUGGAACAUGGGUUGGACUUCAAAUUUGGCCGAAGGGCGAAAAAAAUUUUCAUAUACAACCAUGCAAAAUGUAGGAACUUAAGUAGACAUUAAUAAGUCUUCAAAAAAAGUAAGCGCCAAUGAAAGUAGAAGAAAUUUUUAAAAAUCAAAGAAAAAUUUGAAAACUCAACAAAAUUUCCCCAAAAGUUUGAAUUUUUGAGAUUUAAGAAGGAGAAGACUAGAAAACUAAGAACUAAGGAACUGAAGAAUAAAGACAGAAUGACGUAUAAAAAAAAAAGAAGAUGCACAGCUAGUNNNNNNNNNNNNNNNNNNNNNNNNNNNNNNNNNNNNNNNNNNNNNNNNNNNNNNNNNNNNNNNNNNNNNNNNNNNNNNNNNNNNNNNNNNNNNNNNNNNNNNNNNNNNNNNNNNNNNNNNNNNNNNNNNNNNNNNNNNNNNNNNNNNNNNNNNNNNNNNNNNNNNNNNNNNNNNNNNNNNNNNNNNNNNNNNNNNNNNNNNNNNNNNNNNNNNNNNNNNNNNNNNNNNNNNNNNNNNNNNNNNNNNNNNNNNNNNNNNNNNNNNNNNNNNNNNNNNNNNNNNNNNNNNNNNNNNNNNNNNNNNNNNNNNNNNNNNNNNNNNNNNNNNNNNNNNNNNNNNNNNNNNNNNNNNNNNNNNNNNNNNNNNNNNNNNNNNNNNNNNNNNNNNNNNNNNNNNNNNNNNNNNNNNNNNNNNNNNNNNNNNNNNNNNNNNNNNNNNNNNNNNNNNNNNNNNNNNNNNNNNNNNNNNNNNNNNNNNNNNNNNNNNNNNNNNNNNNNNNNNNNNNNNNNNNNNNNNNNNNNNNNNNNNNNNNNNNNNNNNNNNNNNNNNNNNNNNNNNNNNNNNNNNNNNNNNNNNNNNNNNNNNNNNNNNNNNNNNNNNNNNNNNNNNNNNNNNNNNNNNNNNNNNNNNNNNNNNNNNNNNNNNNNNNNNNNNNNNNNNNNNNNNNNNNNNNNNNNNNNNNNNNNNNNNNNNNNNNNNNNNNNNNNNNNNNNNNNNNNNNNNNNNNNNNNNNNNNNNNNNNNNNNNNNNNNNNNNNUAUACAGACCCUGCUGCUAUGGCAUCACAGAAAUGAUUAGGGAAAUCCGGAAAUGCAAUCCUAGUACUUAGCUUCAUGGUUGCUAACUUGCUGUAUUAGUGUUCAAAUCUUUAUAUCAUAAUCACUGUCUAUAAGUUCUGGUCAUCCAUCCAAGGUUUCAUAUCUGCCAAUAUGCCUAUAUUUUCCGCCAUAUAUCCAUUUUUUUAGCUUGGUAUAUCAUACAGGGGUAAUAUCUUAACUUUCUUUGACUCGAGAUUUGGGAGGAACAUUAAGUUUUGAGUGGAAAAAAUAACCCUAAAUUGGUUCUGUAAUCCCUGACUGAAACCAAUCUAAACAAAGCUCCAUUAUUGAUUAAUUGGACAACAAGAGAAAACAAAAGAAUAAAAAUAAAAAUAAAAAUAAAAAGUAAUUCAAUUAUUCACAUAAAAACAUACCUCAAGGAGGUUUCACUUUCAAAAAGCAACACAAUUACCCCAUGCCUCAAUUACAUGGAGGUUUCAGGAAAAGAAAACAAGAACCCAAAGAUGAUCACAUGCAUAGUUCACAAGCUGGGUCAUGACUAGCUAGUGUGGACAAGAACUACUCAGAAGGUGUGGAAGAACUUGACAAACUCAGAUCAGCUCUUAUUACAGGGUGUUGCUUUCAUGUAUGAAUUCAAACAACUUGAGGAACUCUUAGAAGUUUGAAAAAUAUAACUAAUACCAAAUUCUGUGAAGGUUUAGGGUAUUUCCAAUACUACCAGCGGGAAGAAGACCAAUUGAAGCAGCUUUAAUAUGACCUCUGGUUAUGUAUCUCUUAUGGCUUGUACCAAAAGAUGAAUAAAGUUGUAUUACUGAGAAGAUGGUGGCAUGAUUCCUAAACAAAUUUUGUUAUUUUCGUUUUCUUCUAUUUUAUCUUAAUUUGGUUCUAACUUCUAAAGGGAUCAAGAUAGAAUCGGAGAAGCAUAAAAUAAAGAAAGAUCAUUAUUGGAAGUACAGGAAACAAUGUAUACAGUACCUUAUGUCUUCUUACUGAUCCAUCGCUAAUUGCUUCUUCCCGCAACACAUCCUACUUAAAUAACGCAGUUGUGCACUAUUGCACAAGAAAAACCAAUGCAACAAUAAUCUCUUUCAUGAGGGUUUCAUCAUCGGAUUUGUUGCAAUCAUGAAGCUUUUACAGAUAUGCUACAGCAUUCUCCAUGAAGGUUUGUUAAUUGGUUCAUGCAUUCCAUUAAGUUUUUACACAUAUACAGACCCUGCUGCUAUGGCAUCACAGAAAUGAUUAGGGAAAUCCGGAAAUGCAAUCCUAGUACUUAGCUUCAUGGUUGCUAACUUGCUGUAUUAGUGUUCAAAUCUUUAUAUCAUAAUCACUGUCUAUAAGUUCUGGUCAUNNNNNNNNNNNNNNNNNNNNNNNNNNNNNNNNNNNNNNNNNNNNNNNNNNNNNNNNNNNNNNNNNNNNNNNNNNNNNNNNNNNNNNNNNNNNNNNNNNNNNNNNNNNNNNNNNNNNNNNNNNNNNNNNNNNNNNNNNNNNNNNNNNNNNNNNNNNNNNNNNNNNNNNNNNNNNNNNNNNNNNNNNNNNNNNNNNNNNNNNNNNNNNNNNNNNNNNNNNNNNNNNNNNNNNNNNNNNNNNNNNNNNNNNNNNNNNNNNNNNNNNNAUACAGGGGUAAUAUCUUAACUUUCUUUGACUCGAGAAAUAUCAAAUAUCAUAGAUUUGGGAGGAACAUUAAGUUUUGAGUGGAAAAAUAACCCUAAAUUGGUUCUGUAAUCCCUGACUGAAAACAAUCUAAACAAAGCUCCAUUAUUGAUUCACUGGACAACAAGAGAAAACAAAAGAAUAAAAAAAAAAAAAUGUAACUCAAUUAUUCACAUAAAAACAUACCUCAAGGAGGUUUCACUUUCAAAAAGCAACUCAAUUACCACAUGCCUCAAUUACAUGGAGGUUUCAGGAAUAGAAAACAAGAACCCAAAGAUGAUCACAUGCAUAGUUCAUAUGAUGACGUACAUGCAUAGUUCAUAAGCUGAGUCAUGACUAGCUAGCCAACAUUUCAGAACCCUACACUAGCUGGCGUAUUCCAGAAGUGACCCUUUUUAUUGGCCUAUAAAAUUACCCUCUAUCUCCCUCUCUGAAUUCAUCAACAAGGAAAUACUUGUGUCAUUUGCUUAUCAUUGAAGCAGCAAGGCACUUGCAGCUAAAUCUACAAAAACCUUUUACAGAAUCCACACAGAAAGAAAGACAUGGCUGAAUCUUCCACUCCUGCAAAGUUUGAGUUAUUAGCAACCAAAACUGUGCAAGAGCAACUCACUGAAGUAGAAAUACUAGUACCACAGAACUACAUUCUCAAAGAUGGAAUCCCACUUCCAGAUCCUUCUGUUGAGUUGAUGGAUAUUCCAGUGAUUGAUCUUGGUCUCCUUACACCUUACUCAGAAGGUGUGGAAGAACUUGACAAACUCAGAUCAGCUCUUCUUACAGGGUGUUGCUUUCAUGUAUGAAUUCAAACAACUUGAGGAACUCUUAGAAGUUUGUAAAAUAGAACUAAUACCAAAUUCUGUGAUGGUAGACUUUUUAUGUAUAACAGUUGUGUUUGACUGUUUUCUAGGUAUAGUCCAAUCAACUGUGUUUGACUGUUUUAUUGUUUUUGUUGUGAGGCUGCUUAUUGUGUUUGACUGUUUUCUAGGUAAUAAACCAUGGAAUGACAGCUGAAUUCCUUGACGAAGUCCGUGAAAUCACAAAACAGUUUUUCGCAAUUCCAGUGGAAGAGAAGCGGAAAUAUCUGAGGGCAGUCAACGAUUUUGAAGGAUAUGGGAACGACAUGGUACUUUCAGAGCAGCAAACACUUGAUUGGACUGACAGACUAUACCUUACUGUAUAUCCACCAGACCAGCGCAAGUACAAGUUUUGGCCUGAAAAUCCCAUAUCUUUUAGGUAACAUCUAUGGUCAGAACUCAGAAUUCCCCUAUUUAUCAAAUGAUUGAUAGAUGAUUGUUGAUCCUUCGAAUGAUGUGCUCUGCAGGGAUACUCUAGACCAAUUUACCAGUAGGUCACAGGUCAUAACAGAAACUAUCCUUAAGAGCAUGGCGAGGUCAUUGAAUUUGGAGGAAGAUUGCUUUAUGGACAAGUAUGGAGAACAAGGGAAAAUGGAGGCUAGGUUUAACUUCUAUCCUCCAUGUUCAAGGCCUGAUCGCAUCCUCGGAUUCAAGCCACAUUCAGAUAGUUCAAUGAUCACCAUUCUCUUGCAAGACAAAGAAGUGGAAGGUCUUCAAUUUCUGAAAGAUGAUCAAUGGUUUAGGGCUCCCAUUGUUCCUGAGGCGCUUCUCAUUAAUGUUGGUGAUCAAAUAGAGGUAACUAAGAUUCUAAAUGUCUUUGAAUGUCAAUGUUUUGGUUGUGACUAUCUAACUGCCAUCAAAACCUGGUCUUUGUGAUUCAUAGAUAAUGACUAAUGGACUGUUCAAGAGCCCAGUGCACAAGGUAGUGGUAAAUGGAGAAAAGGAGAGGAUUUCUUUCGCUGUGUUCUGUUUCCCAGAUUCAGAGACAGAGAUUGAACCCUUUGAUUGCCUCAUCAAUGAGUCACGGCCAAGGUUGUACAAAAAGAUGAAAAACUACGGUGACACCUUUUUCGAAUACUACCAGCAGGGAAGAAGACCAAUCGAAGCAGCAAUAAUAUAACCUUCGGUAUGUAUAAGCAGCAAUAAUAUAACCUUCAGUAUAUAUCUCAUAAGUCAAGAAGACCAAUCGAAGCAGCAAUAAUAUAACCUUCAGUAUGUAUCUAAGCAGCAAUAAUAUAACCUUCAGUAUGUAUCUCAUAAGUCAAGAAGACCAAUCGAAGCAGCAAUAAUAUAACCUUCAGUAUGCAUCUCUUAUGACUUAUGAGCGUACCUGAAGUGAAUAGUUUAAAUUUGUAUUACUGAAAGUAUGGUGGCAUCAUGUUAUCUCUUAUGGCUUGUACCCCAAGAUGAAUACCUUCAAGUUGUAUUACUGAGAUGAUGGAGGCAUGAUUCCUAAGCAGAAUUUGUUAUUUCUGUUUUCUUUUAUUUUAUCUAAAUUUCGUUCUAAUUGGAUGAAGAAUUGAAACUAGAUACGGGGAAGUAUAAUAUUAAGAAAGAUCAUGAUCCAAAUGAAGCUAAUGAUGUAAAUAGACACGAAAAUUGUUAAACAGGAAAAUCUUAUUCAUAGAUGUAAACAGAGAGCGAGAAACAAUACAUACAGGAGCAUCCCUUGACAGUUGACACCAAAAUCGAGCUCCACGUCUACUACUCUAAUAAAGAUACAACAUCACCAAAUAGUCAGUACCAAAGAAGAUGGGAAAGCCAAAAACCUCCAACAGAUUAAACACAUCACGACUUUAGAUAAUGUCUUCUUACCGAUCCAUAGUCGAUCGCUUUUUCAAGCAAUGCAUUCCCCUUAAUAACUCAGUUGUCCAGUAUUGCUCAAGAACAACGAAUCCCACCAUCUCUUCCUCUAUCACUCUCUUGAACAACUUGAACCACAGCGUGCUCCAGAAGUCGCUUCAGAUAAAGCUUGUUGUGGAACCAACUUCAAGCGGCUUGCAGACUGGCAGCAAUGUCUUCACUGAUUGAUUCCCAUCAGGUGCAGUGAUCAUAAAGCUCAUCCAACUGGAACCCACAAACCAAAUGAUUGUUAAUUAAUUCAUCGAUACAAUUCAAAUAUUCCAUUUGCUCUCCAAUAAAAGAAGAUUUGUGAUCUCCUCAAAGCUGCCAUGCAACUAAGAAAACCAAUGAACAAGAGGAGAAUAGGUAAUGCAUCUGGAAAAGUCGAAGCCUCAGUUCAGUUACUUUCUAAUUCCAUACUGUUGUUAUAAGUUACAAGUUUAUAACACUUAUAAUGAUACUAGGAUUGGAGACAACUCCCCUGCUAGCCAUACUAUAAAGCAAUUCAAAAAAGACAAUUUAACAGAUGCCUUCAGGAUUUCAAAUAUUCAUUUUCCAUCACUAAUUUAUGAGCAGAUAAAAAUCAUAAAAUAAGUACAGUAUAUUCUCAAAGAAAAAGCUAACAGUCAAAAAGCAAAAUCCACUUACAAAUUAGGUGCAAAGGUGGUUUUAGUUGUUCUGAAUGUUGAGAGCCUCCAAAGAAGAUGUAGAUGCAGAUUCAUUCUCUGAUGGUGUUGGCAACAAAUGUUGAGAAUCAUCUUCAUUCUCGAAAAUCUGCUUCCGUGAAACACCAUGCAAACGCCCAAAAAGCUGUUUUUUUAAUGCUUCAAAAGCAUUGUCCAGCCUCUUUAGCUGCUCCAUUGCAUUUGCAUUGUACAUGAACAAUCCAUAAUAGAGAUCAAAGCUAUCUCCUGCUGUAUUCUCAACCAAAUUCAACAAAGUCUUGUAACCUUUUGUAUUGACCGGCGUCGACUCCAAACCCAACUUUUCCAAAAUUCUUCCCAUAGUGUGUGUGAUGAAUUGUGACCCUGCCGCAUGCUUAUCAUGCUCUUCGCAUGACAUUUGCACCAUACGACACCCUUCUUGAGCAAAAAUAUCAAGAAAUUGAUCACACCUUGACACCCUUGAUUCUUCAUUUCCAAUCCUGACCCUAUCAUACACAAAAGCAAGACCAUUCCACCCAUUUUUCCCACUUUCUGGUCCAAACAUAGGAUGUGUGCAGAGAAUAUCAAAAUAUGGAGGCAACCUUUGAAGAAACAGGCUUCUCGGAAAUUCCUUCACAGAUAGAACAUCAACAAACAAAGUACUCCGCUUCAACCUCUGAAGAGGGAGUGACAUCAGAACUUUCUCGGUGGAGAGAAUCGAUGUGCAGAGGAUUAUUACUUCUGGAUGCUCCUCACAAAAAUCAUCUGCAUCCGAGAAGUAAGAAACACCCAACAGUCGAGCAACAUCAGAGUAGUCUGACCGCGAAUAGGCUAGAACCUUGUGACCUUGGCGUACAAUGGUUUUGGCAAGGAACUGACCAAAGUUGCCAAAACCAACAAUUCCAACCCUGAGCAUCGAAUUGUCGUCUCCAGAGCUAUCCAGAACAUGUACUUUGAGGGGUCUAAACAUUACAAUGAAUACAUUUCGUUACAAUUAGUCACUGAACUAACACAUUCCACUAUCUAAUAACCUAACAAGUAUACAUGUCAUAAAGCAGAGGACGAUGCAUUGAAAUCUUACCUCCCAGCAAUUGAAGAACGCACCAAUGCAGCGCCAUUCUGAUUCACAUUCUCCUCCUGCAACGGCCUCACCUUCCCGGCAUUGCCAAACAACUGGUUCCUCACAACAUCAUGCAGCCUCCCGAAAAGCUGCGCCUUCAAAGCCUCAAAAGCCGAGUCCAGCCUCUCCAGCAUAUCCAGCGCAUUCUUGUUAUACACAAACAACCCGUAAUACAAAUCAAAGCUGUCCCCUGCAGUGUUCUCCACCAAAUCCAACAAUGUCUCAUACCCUUUGGUAUUAAUCGGCGUCGACUCCAGCCUCAGCAUCCCCAGCACCCUCCCAACAGUGUGAGUAAUAAACUGCGACCCCGCGGCAUACUUAUCAUGCUCUACACAGCUCAUUUCCACCAUCUUACACCCUUCCCUCUCGAAAAUGCUCAAGAACUUCUCACACCUCUCAGCCCUGGAGCCUUCUUCUCCGAUUCGGACCUUUUCGAACACGAAAUGCAGCUCAUUCCAGCUCUCUUUCGCGCUUUCAGGGCCGAACAUGGGGUGAGUGCAGAUCAAAUCGAAGUAGGGCGGAAGCGCAUUCAAGAACAGAGCUUUGGAGAAUUCCUUGACGGAGAGGACGUCGGCGAAGAGCGUGCUGCGGCGGAGGCGCUGGACGGGGAGGGAGGAGAGGACGGCGGCGGCGGAGAUGAUGGAGGUGCAGAGGAGGAUGACGUGGGGGUGCUGCUCGCAGAGGUCGUGGGGGUCGGGGAAGAAGGAGACGCCGAGUUUGGCGGCGGCGGCGGAGUGGUCGGAGCGGGAGUGGGCGAGGACGGUGUGGCCUUGGCGGGUUAGGGUUUUGGCGAGGAACUGGCCGAAGUUGCCGAAGCCGAUGAUGGCGAUUGUGAGGGUUUGGGAGGAGCGGAACUGGGCGGCGAGCUUGGAUUCGUAGUCGAAAACCUGGGCGGCGUCUAGGGAUUUGAUUUGGAGACCAAAACGGCGUCGUUUUGGGGUUGAAUUGGGGGUGUGAUAAUAAAGGUGGGAGCUUUGGGGGUAAAGGUUGGGGCUUUGGGGGUUGAAGAGGAGAGAGGGAGUGGGGAUGAGUUUUGGAGGGAAAGGGUGGAGAGAGAGAGGUGGCAUUGUGGAAAUUGGAGAAGAAAGAAUAAGAAGAAGAAGAGAGAAGAGGUCUGAAGAUUUCUCAGACCCAGGUGAGAUGUUGAAGAAGAAGAAAAGAGGAGGGUGUGUGUUCAAAAAUGGGGGGCUUGGAAAUUUGGGAAGCUUUUGUUUGAACUCCUAGAGCUCCAGGGUUUUAUUUUUAUUUUAUUUUCUUUUUCUGUUGGUAUGCACGUUUUGUCACGGCUAUCAUCGUGCAAGGUUAUGAGCUCGACUUAAAUACGAGACAUUUGAGUUGUUGAGAAAUAUCGUGUGUCAGGUCUCCAUAAUAAAAUUUAGAACAUAAAAAGCAAUGAAGGCGUUUAAUUGCACGAAAAUUCUUAUGCGCACCAAGAGGGAACCGAACAAUCAAUAUGUAUUAUUUUAAUUCGAUCAGCCGCGUUACAUUAUCAUGCAUAUAUACUAAUACCGUUAACAACCCAAAAAAAGUAGUUUUAAGUGUUUCCAAGUUCUAACACAGGAGAUGAGGACCCGAGGUUAAAGAAAAUGUACUGUUGUUAUAAACACUUAAUUUGAUCGGAUCAAAAAUAAAAAUGAAAGAAAGAAAUUUAAGAUGUCUAAUCUUCUUUCGAUCUUCGCAUACAAUGAUUUAAAGACUUAUACAUUAGAUCAUUAAUGAUACAAGUGCACCUUCAUACGUAAGCCGAAAUCACAAAUUCACAAUCGAAACCAAAUAGUGUAAAGAGAAGGAAAAAAGUUCCACUUACCACAAAUAUAUAAUUGAACUAGUAAACUUUUUUAUUUUGUUUCUAAUAUCAUGGGAAAUGCAACAGUCAAGAGGUUUCAUAUAUCAUCAUCAUCAUUAUCAAUUUCAAUCACCAUUCCACGUUACAUCAACCCCUAUGACAAAGGGGGAAAAUUUUCAGGCUUUUCCCGUCAAUUCUAAUCUCAGAAACUACUGAAAAGGCUAAAACAUGUCCUACAGACCAAUAAGGUGACAAGGUGAAAGGAUCGGCUGAUGGAGGUGAGCUUGAUAACGUCCGAGAAUUGGGGUGAAAUGCGGCACUUGAUGGGGAGAGGGGAGCUUGGACUACUUCUCGCUUGUCUGAUAUCUCGGGUUUUCAUUUAGAGCUUGAAAAGGAGGCCACCGUGUGUGGCGAAGAAAGGUGCAAAGACAAGGGACUCGACGGCCAUGAGCUUGAUGAGGAUGUUGAGAGAUGGGCCAGAUGUGUCCUUGAGAGGGUCUCCAACAGUGUCACCAAUGACAGCUGCUUUGUGUGGAUCUGAACCCUUGGGACCAAGACUCCUUGCGUGUUCAGAAGCUCCAGCCUAAAAUGAUUGAUAGAAAUCAGACAAAAGUGUACAGAGCAAAACUAGAAUAUGAUUGCUAACCAAAAGCAGGAAAUUUCUUACCUCAAUAUACUUCUUGGCGUUGUCCCAAGCACCACCAGUGUUGGAUGCAGAGAUUGCGAUCUGUAAAUGUAAGGGUGUUUAGUUCAAAGGUGAUCAUAUGCAAUAGCAUCAGCAAAAGCUUACAAACCAGACAGUGAUGAAGAAUUACCUGUACACCAGAGACGAGGGAUCCAGCAAGGACACCGGAGAGAGUCUCCACACCAAAAAAGAUCCCGACGAUGAGGGGCGUAAGCAUGACAAGGGCACCAGGUGGAAUCAUUUCCUUGAUGGAAGCAUCAGUAGAGAUCUUAACACACGUAGCAUAGUCAGGCUUGGCAGUACCCUCCAUGAGGCCAGGGAUGGUGUUGAAUUGCCUGCGUACUUCUUCAACCAUUUUCAGAGCAGCACUUCCCACACUCUUCAUUGUCAUGGCAGAGAACCAGUAGGGAAGCAUUGCACCCACAAUCAAACCAAUAAACACUUUUGGAGUCAACACAUCAACUGUUGCAAUUCCAGCACGGCUCACAAAGGCACCAAAGAGAGCAAGGGACACGAGAGCAGCAGAGCCAAUUGCAAAACCCUAUACAUAGAAGCACAUAAAACUCAUGAGUAACAUCCACAUUUUGAUGAUAAUUUCAAACUUGUUUUCAAUAACAAUGCACAAUUCAGAAACAGUAUAGAAGCAACUGGAAACAUGAGAGAGAAAGAGAGAGAGAGGGAGAGAGAGAGAGAGAGAGAGAGAGAGAGAGAGAGAGAGAUACUAAACCUUACCAAUAGCAGCUGUUGUUGUUUCCUGCAGCAUCAAGAGCAUCCGUUCUCUCUCUGAUUCUGUGGCUCAUGCCUGCCAUCUCAGCAAUACCUCCAGCAUUGUCACUGAUCGGACCAUAUGCAUCAAUGGCCAAUCCAGUCGCUAUGGUGCUAAGCAUUCCAAGGGCAGCUAUAGCAAUACCAUACAUAGCGGCAAAGCUAAAACUAACAUAAAUACUAAUGGCAAUGGCAAAAAUAGGAAUGAUGACUGAUUUGUAUCCCAAUGCCAGGCCAAAAAUGACAUUAGUAGCAGCUCCUGUCCGGCACGAAUCAGCAACAUCUUGCACGGGGCUGCAACAGAAUUUGAAGCAAAUGUCAGAUGAAGAGACAAUUAACACCAUUUAUAGGGAAAUGUUACUAAGUAUACAGUUACCUGUACGCAUUACUGGUAUAAUACUCUGUUACAAAUCCGAUGAUAAGUCCAGCCCACAAACCCACACACACACAUAAGAACAGUUGCCUGCAAAAUGAAUAGUGUUAAGAGACUCAACAAUAACUAAACAAUCAUGGGAUCUAACAAGUACCUGAUAUACAGGUAAAAUACAAAGACUUCCAUACGCAUCAAAAGUGAUCCCAUUAUUAUUUCACAUGGCUUAAACUAAGAUUAAAUAUAAGGCCAUAGAUAUGAAGAUUUAACAGAUUGUUGAUGACACUGAUUUAACAGAGAAAGAAGCAGAGCUUACCAGUUCUUAACAACUUUCUGGGUUCCAAAAUUAAAGAUGGUGAAGGAAGAAGGAACAGAAAUCCAUGUAACGAUCGCAACUCCAACAGUCAUCAGUACAGUGGAAAUAAUGAGUUGCCUCUUCAAUGCUGGCUCAAUUUCCUUUACAGCCUUGAUCUCAAAGAAAUCAGUUGCGAAAAGGGUGGUGAUCAGACAAACAAUGAUACCAAUGGAACUGACGAUGAGAGGAUAUAACAUUGCAGUUAACUCAUGAUUGAUCCCAAAUGAGGAAAUUGAAGCAACAACAAGAGCAGCACAUGAUGACUCAGCAUAUGAUCCAAAGAGGUCAGAUCCCAUUCCGGCAAUAUCCCCAACAUUGUCCCCAACAUUAUCAGCAAUCACCUGCACACAUGGAAUGAAUAAGUUCUGGAAGUGAAUAAAAAGCACAUUUCCAAUUUUUAGUCAAUAAUCUAACAGCAGCUAAGCCUUACAGCUGGGUUCCUUGGGUCAUCCUCAGGAAUAUUCCUUUCAACUUUGCCAACAAGGUCAGCACCAACAUCAGCAGCUUUGGUAUAGAUGCCUCCACCAACUCUGCCAAAGAGAGCCAUAGAAGAUCCGCCAAGACCAUAACCAGUUAUGGACUCAAAAAGACCACCCCAGUCCUCACCAUAGUACAUCUUGAAGACAAGGAUCACAAUGUAAAGAACCAAUAAACCAUUUGCAGCAAGGAGAAAUCCCAUAACAGCACCUGAUCUAAAUGCAACUAUAAAAGCCUUCCCAACACCUUUUCUUGCCUCCAAAGUAGUUCUGGCAUUUGCAUAAGUAGCAAUCUUCAUACCAAGGAAUCCAGAAACCACUGAAGUUAUAGCACCAAGCAAAAAGGAAACAGUGCUGAAUAAGGCAGUUGCAAGAGCAGGUUUGCACAUCUUUGUUUCGUCAUUAGCACAUUUAUGGCCACUAGUGCUAAAUCCCUCCACAGAGCCAAGGAAAACGAAUAUCAAGAUUGCAAAUGCCACCAUGAAAGCACCAACAUAUUUAUAUUCAGUGUAAAGAAAUGAUGUUGCUCCUGUAGUAUAGAAUCAUCAAGAUGUUAGUAGAACCUAAAAGAGAUCUUUUGACCAAAAAAUUAUGGUAAUUUGAAGUUGUAAACCAGUAGCUUGAUUGAAAAUUUCAAAUGAAACAACAGAGAGCAGUGCAUCAUACAGCUGAAGAAAUAACCCUACCAAAGAAGAUAAUUUCCUUCACUAAAAAAAAUGAUACAAAAAAAUGAUUUGAAAACUUGAGCUAAACGACCAAUCAAAUUUUAAUCACUGUAGAUACCCCUAUAGCACAUGUAAAAAACAAGGAAAAAAAACACUCUUUCUUUCUUCUUCAAAACCUCUUUGCUAUAUACAAAGCCAUAACAAAAGAUCGUAUCGUAAUAUGUUCCUUGUUUCUAAAACCAGAUAAGUUAUGAGACCUGAGAAGUGUGAACGAGCAAAGGCUACUACUCUAGCAAUAAGAGGCCACAGACUUCAGUGAACAAAAAUAUUCAUUCCAAUAAAUCACAAAUAAUAAUGAUUGAACACAACAAUAAUAGUCCUAUAAUCAUGUAACAGUGUAUUGAUACCCAAAAUGGCAAAAGGUCCAAAGCCUCUAGUACAAUAUUAGGAACACCCAUGUGCACUACCUUAACACUCAAUCAAAUAAAUUUAUGUACAAAAGACAAUAUGAUGAAUCAAUGUUGAUAUCCAGAUAAUGCUAUAAUACUAAGACCAUAGAAAAUAUAACAGGUGGUCCUGAAUAAAAAUUAAAAUAAAAUAAAACCAAUCGGUGGUUCCAGUAUAGGGCACCAUCUUCGAUCUGUGAACUCAAAACCAAACGAAAACGACGUCGUCGGAUCUAAGCAGACACCGAAAACUGAAAAAAGACUCGAACUUUACAGCACUCUGUUUCCACCAAAAUAUGAAAGACUCUGUUUCUGCCAAAGCUCAAAACUUUUAAGUAUAUAAAUCAAAAUUUAGACCAAUUCAACAAACCCACAAAGCUAAAAUCAGCAGCAAACAAACCAAACGACGUCGUUAGAUCUAAGCAUACAUCACAUCACUAAAAAGACUCAAAAUUUGAGGACUCUGUUUCAGUAAACUUCACAAGCUCAAAUCUUUUAGAACAGACACAAACACACGAAGGACGAAAACCAACGUUGGAUCUAAGCAGACACAAAAUUCAAAGACACAGAGUUAGAACAACAUGGACCUUCGGAGAUGGCGUUCUGGAUUUCGGCGCACUUCUGAACAACGUUGUUGUCGUUAACACCCUCUUCCUCCUCGAUAAGGUAAUCGUUGUAGCCAUUUUUUCCGGUGGAGUUAGAAUUGGAGUCUCUCGCCGGCGAGAGCUGAACACGUGACACGUAGACCCACUGGAGCAGAGAGAAGACGAUUCCGACCACCGCGCAGAACGGAAUCAAAAUCUCGGCCCCGAGAUCUGGGAGAAUACUCGCCCCCAUAGAGCUGCGCCGAACACGACCGAACCGAAAGAGAAACAAGAACAAAAGGAAGACAGAGAGUUUGAUUUGGACUGUUGUGUUUUGUGUUUGAGUGAAUACGAGGAGGUUCGUGAUGUGGGUGAUGAGGGUUUAUUUAUAAGAGAGUGACAUGAGAGUAAGAGAAAGGAUAGGAGUCAUAGGACUGACUCACCAGAUUUAUUUAUUUUUUUAGGAAAAUGGUGAAAAUUUAGAAAUUAGAGUUAAUAUUGGUAAUAUUUUGGGGUUUUAAGUAAAAAUGCCACCUCACUCAGUCAAAUCUUUUUUGCAUUAUCUUGUUUUCCAUUUCAAGAAAAUCAUGCCUAGUCCUUAGAACAAAUCUAUUGAGAUCCUAAAUAUGUUCCUAACGCGUAUAGACACCGUGGCGAAUAUAAGAAGGAAGUUUAUAUAAUCGAUUUUGUACGUAUGAUACGGAAGUUAAAGCAUUUAGCAUACCUAUAUGUCGUUUUAAAAAUAUUUUUUAUUUUUUUACAUUGGAGAUGAUUGAGCAAGUUUUCUAGUUUGAUUCUAACUCAAUCUCUUGAUCUCUCACUACUUGUAUUAAAAGAAUAUAUAUUGUCUAACAACUAUUGUGUUUGAUUUUCUAUAUGUAUAUUACAAGUAAAUUUCAAAGUUUUUAAUACAUUGUUUGUGUCAUACCAUACAAACAUGUAAGCAUUUGCUUUAUAAUCAAGUUAUAUUGAACAAGAGAAACAUAUCUUAUCGAUUAUUGUAUCUACAUUGUUUGUAUACAAUAAGCUCUAAGAUAUUAUGGUGACAAUGCUCUAAGCAUUUGGCUUCGAUUAGAGCUUAUUUAGUGACAGAUCAAUCCACCUAAAAACCACGUAACAGGCUGGCUUCAAUUAAUGUCAUUUAGUGGACUGAUCAAAUUUGGCUUAGCAUGGACACCAUAAUAUCUUAGAGCAUCUCCCACCAUGCUAAGCCAAAUUUGAACAGUCCACCUUCGAUUAAAAUUGACUUCGAUUAGAGCUUAUUUAGUGACAUAUCAGUCCACCUAAAAAACACAUAAUAUUUAUUACUCACAAAUUCAAAAUUCUUUAUAUGAUGGCUUACUUAUUGACAUACCUAAACACCCACAUUUUCUUGAUGUAUGGCAAUUAACAUUAAUCCUAAUCUAAUGACCAAAUUAAUUGUUCAAAAGAAGAUGACCAAAUUAAAGGAAUUUGUGAGAUUUGUCACAAGAUUUGACACCAUACCUUUCCCUAGGGCCUAGGCCAAGGAAGUUGCUAAUGGCGACAACACAACAAUGCCGAAAACGACAUCUCCAGAACAAAGCUGACAUGUGUCGUUGUCUGUGUAGCUUGAUGUGGUAAAAUGACCGAUUUAGCCUUUCUUUAAAUGUGAAGAAGAUGAAGAGGAACUUAUUCUAUCUAGAUAGAGGAUAACUGAGCAAAGAGAACGUAUUCGAGACGCAUUUAUUUCGUGCCCCCAUUGUCUUUUCCUUCUUUACACUUCUAUUUUAUCCUUCUCCUUUUUUUUUUUUUUCUUUUUUUCUUUUUUGUGAUUCGAAUUUUUGUUUAUUUUUAGCUAACUUGUGAGAUUCGUGUUUGAUAAAAUAUCACUAUCAGUUUAUCUAUGUCAUUCAUGAUUUCAUAAUCCAAUGAAUUAUUGGCCCACAAUUGAUGUGAGGAGCAGGUCCAUGAAGCACAAUGGGCUUUGCUAUGAUGGAGACCUUGAGAAUGCUAUGUUUUGAUUACAUUGUGAAGUAUUGUUAACGUAAUCGGUAUGUUGAUAUGUUGAGUCCCUUAUGAAGAUUAAUGUAGUUGUGUUUUUGCUUGCAAGUAUAAUGUUGUCAUUGUGAGGUGUAAUGUGGGCAUCCAAAAGGGCAGUUCAUAAAUGAUUUUUGAUCUUGUGAUGAAAUUGUAACUUAGCUAAUUGUGGUUCUUUGUCAUUGAAUGCAUGAGACUAUAUAUAGUUGGUUGGUGCAGGUUGGACCGUGCCAUUAUAUGAGGCCAAUAGUUAGCAUAGGGCCAAAAUUCAGCCCAUACCCUUAAACCAAAAUUUAGGACCAAAUCCACCUAGUAUUUUUGGCCGGAUAGAAGGAGAAAGUAGAUUACAAAUUGUUUUCAAUUGUGAAAAGCAGAGGAAUAUGUUAGGCUGAACUACACCGGAUCACACCAUUGAAACUCUGGUUAGCAACUUAAACACCCUUAAUGCUUUUGUAUCGAUUCAUUGCCUUUAUCAACGUACGCAAAGCAAAAAUUUAUUCAGUUCUCACGAAAAAAUAACAUAUAACGUUUGAGUGUAUUAGUGCAUGAUACAACUUUUACAUUUCUCAAUUACAUCGUAUCAUCGUAGUUCUACAUUCUUACGACCAAGUAUUAAAGCUCUUCAUAAGCUCAAAGAUUGGUCUGCGACAUAUUAAUGUAUCGAUAUGUAAGUAUACUGAAUGAAAAAACUAGUAAUUAAUCGGGAUGAAGAUAAAAGGUUCUGGAAACAUAGAAAUGAUGACUGUCCAUAUUUCCUUCCUCCCUAUAAAUCUCGAGCACGUGUUGGCUUCCUCUGUUCACCAAAACAUGACCAAAACGACACACAUACACACACUGCUAUCUUCCUCUCUUCAUGGUUUUGCUUUGAUUUUGCUACAUUUUGGGGACCGUGCGCUCCGCAAAAGCAACAGUGUCCGCUGAGACCGCAAAGCCACAGAUCCAACUAGAAUCAGAUUUUCAUCAACAACACUUAUGGGGAAGAAGAGGCCACGCUCUGAUGAUGAUCACACCCCACCCUUUUCUCCUCCUCCUCCUCCUUCGGGUAACACCCUCAAUUCUCUCGUUCUUUUCUUUACGUUUUCCUUUGUGUGUUGACAAUGCUCUAAAAACGAAGAACCCAGAUGAAAAGGAAGCAACUUUUUGUUGAAACAUUAGGUAAAGCUUGUUUCUUUGAUAUGGCAUUCACUCAAUUAUGUGUGCUGUGUCUUUGUUUUGUGGUUCUUGCUCAAAUUGAGCCCAGUUUGGUUUCUUGAGAGGUGAAUGGUGUUGGUUUCUUGAUCAAGUUUUGAUCUUUCUUGAUGUUGUGUGAUUGGUGUGGUGCUGUUUCUUUGGUUUCUUGGGUACUAGGCUCAUUUGGGUUGAUGGGUUUUCUUCUUUUUAGGAUUUGAGUAUGGUUGUGUUUCUAGUUCAUCAAUUACUGAAGUAAUGGGGUUCUGUAUCUGUUGCCCUGUUGGAUAUUGGGACUACAAUUACAAGUUUGCUUUUGGUGUGAAAUGAUCCGGCUCCUUAAACCCUCCAUUUGGUGAAGGUUCAGAAUGUCUUGCUCAAUUUUGAUAUUAUGUUCUGUCUGUAUGUAACGAUUUUGAUUAGGCCAAAACCUCCAAUGGUUGAGGUUUAUUCAAUUCUAAAGUGUUUUCAGAUAUUGCAUUCAUGUCUGGUGUAAGAAUUGACUGAUGUUUCAGAUUAUGAGUUGAUACUCACUUUAAGAUGAAUGGCAUUUAUGCCAGUAAGUGAAAUUCUAAUAAUCAGGUUUUUCUUUGGGGUAUUGCAGACAUCAUUUCAUGUUCUUCAGGAAUGGAAUUAGUGUCGGAAGAGGUUAGCAAUCUUUUCCUUUCUUAUUCAUAUAGUCAUUUGGUUCCUGCUACGGAGUUGUUAUUGUGGUACUUUUGUAUGCUACAUUAUAGAUAAUCUCUCAUCUAUAAUGAUCCGAUUGAUAUUGUUUAGUAGAAAUUGCUGUCAGUGUUUUCCUAAUUCAUACUGGGAGAGAAAUAGUUAUUAUUACUUUUUUAAUUCUACUUGUUCAGAAACAAUUGCACCCGGUUGAUUCUGGUAAACAUCUAAGGCCUCUGUCUUCUGUACUGGAUACUACCGGUACUUCUUUGAAGCUACUACAUGCCCACCCUUCUGCUGCACAACAUCAUCAGAGCCUUGGCCGAUCAACGUUUUUUAAACGUUCACGUCAUUACUAUGCCCAUCAAUACUCUCGGCGUAACUCGGGCCAUGUUGCCACUGCAUCAACUUCUCGUGGAAAAGGUACUCCUUCACGUGAAGAAAAGCUCUCUUAUAAGUUGGCUACUCAAUGCAGCGCUGACUCUGGACGUCACUCAGGUCUCUUUUCUGCUGUCCUCCUUUUGAAAAUCUUCCUUUCUUCAGUAGCAUAACAUCUACAAUUUGGUCACAGUUUGCUUGCAUUAAUUUUUCUUUUAAUUUUUUUCCCAGAAAUCAAGGAAAAACCCUUUUUCCGGCCGGCCAGAAUUAGGUCCAGUUACUUGGUAAUGGAUGCUGCCUCAGCUGAUCCAAUGAAGAUGUUAUGUGGGAUUUGUCAAAAGCCAUUGAGGCGCAAACCUUUAUUCCUUGGGACCACGCUGUCUUCUACUGAAGUCUCUGUUGUUGCAGUGUUAGUUUGCGGCCAUGUUUACCAUGCUGAUUGUUUGGAGCAGAAAACAAGUUUUGAAGAAAGACGUGACCCUCCCUGUCCUUUGUGUGUUGGGUUGUUGCCCAAGAUCGAGGAUUUAAGAGAGCAGGUUUAGAGAAGUUGGUACUUGGAAUUUGCAAGGAUCCCUCAGGCGGAAAUGUGUUUCUUGAGAGUUCAUGUCAUCCUUGUAAACUCUCUGGCAAGUUAGCAACUUUUAUCUGCGGCCAUGUUGUCGUGCUGACUGUGUGAGCUGUGAGCAUGUUACAAGUUUCAGAGAUAUUUUUGUGCCCUGCCUGCUCAUUGUUGUGUGCUCCGAAAGUUUACAGAGGACAGUAGUAUUUUGUAAAGAUGUUAAUUUUGCACCAUUAAUAGCUCGAUACUGAUUGUCUAGAAUCUAGAUUAGAAGAUCCACAGCUAGAUGGAAACAUUGGAACUGUUAAUGCAGGUUGUAUUCAGUACUUACUGACUGUUAGAAAUUCCUAGCAGAUUAGAGGAAGCGACUUUUUUGCACUAUUCCAAGUAACAAAAUCUAGCUCAUAUCAAUUCCUGGUUGCCUAUGAAUAUUAGAAUUUCAAUUUUCAUAUUCACAUGUUCAUCGAAUGUACUGUAACCUCUUUCCUGCAAGUCUGUAACAGGUGUGUGCAUACAGUAUUGCGAUUACACAUUUCAUGAAGAAAUUCAAACGCUAUAAAUUGUUUUAAGUUUUAACUACUCAAAAACAAAUAAUUAUCUGUAGUCAAACCAUAAACCUAAUAUAUCUGUACAUGGACUCGCAAGAAAAUUGAGCCUCAGAAGAUGAAGAAAGUACACCAGUUCUCAAGUAACUUGCAAAUGGAAACCUAAGAGCCUGCCUUGCAUGUAGUUUUAUUAUGUCCCGUUUCCUUGCAGUUUGAGCAAAACACUUCCCUUUUGGCCACACCUUUUGUUUUCUUCUGGUUUUCCUUAUCAUGGCUUUGUGGUCUGGAGAUGGAAGGAGGAAGUACAUUCUCAGCUUCCGAUUCAAUUUUAUCGCCAUCCAAAGGCUUAAAAGGCACCGCCACAGGGGUUAUGGAUUCCGAAUAAGUUGUAUGAUAGUUGUCAACUUUAUAGUAUCUUGAACAAAAAUCAUACGCAUUCCUACCUUUGCAGUUGAAAACAGCAAUAGCGUGGCAGCAAGGUAGCCCAGUUGAUUUCCAAUCCAGACAACUACACUCCCUUUUGUUGAGAUCCACAACAUUGAUGGAAUCAUUGUGAACCUCAAAAAGAGUAUCAGUUGAAAAUAAUACUUUAAGGCGACUUGCUUGUAGAAUCUUUUCUUGCAGUUUUUCCUCCUUGGAUGGAGUAAGCUGUGUAGACCAAGUGCUUGAAUCAGUUCGACGAGUGUUUAACAAUUCCAUCAGCUUAGAGCUUAACACUUCUAUCUUCCGUAUAAUGGGCAAUGCUCGCAUUUCCUCUAUCCAGUUGGCGUAUGUCUCUGCAAUGUCGACAGUAAUAUGAUUGUAGUGCUCACCUCUGAAAAAUACAUUUGUCCAACAUUCUUGUUCAAUCUGGACGACCCAGUCAUAACCUUGUGAUGAAACCUGUUUAAUUUGAUCCAUAAAAUACUUAAAACCAUCAAGUCGAAGUGACUGGGCGGCAGCCAUGAAACAAGUUAGCAAAGAACCCUUCCCAUCUUUAUGAAAUGGCGGCCUUAAGUUUUUCUUGAAGCUUCUUAGAAGGUGGUGCAUAGAGUAGCCAUGCUGAGCAUUCUCAAAUACCUCAGUCACUAAUUUCUUCAGCCCUUUCUCUCUAUCAGAGACAAUAGUUAAGGACUGUGUGGUCGAAACAGAUGAUCUUAAUUGCUCCAGAAACCAACGCCAGUUAUCAUCAUUCUCAGCGUCUACUAUUGCAAAUGCAACCGGGAAUGCACCAUCAUCCCCAUCCAAAGCAGUAGCUGCAAUAAAUGUCUCAUGGAAUUUUGAUCUUAAAGGCAUAGAAUCAAGAAAAAGAAUAGGUCGGCAACCAUUCUGAAAACCAUGUCUUGAUGCAUGAAAGCAUUCAAAGAGACGCUGAAAUCUCUUAUCCUCACCAGUGAAAAGCCUAAUAUUACUACCAGGAUUUGCCUCUGCCAUUUUCUCACAAAACCAAGGUAACUGGUUAUAAGCUUCUUUAUAAGAACCCAUAAGUUGUUCCCUUGCAUCUUCAAUUCCACGCCGUACUUGAGUAGAGUUCACCGUAAUUCCAAAAUCCUGAAGAAUGCUACUGACAAUUUCUUUCGGCUUCAGAUGUGGAUUAUCAGUUAAUCUGUCUUUAAUGAUACUAACUAACCAAUUUUUUUUCGGAUGAUAAAACUUCCAUGUCUCCCUUUCACAUGUAUGCCUUUUCUCCAUCUUCUUUACCACAAACUUUUCCAAAGAUGAGUCCCAGGAUGCUUGAAUUCUCCAAGAACAGGCUUCAGCUAUACAUAUGCAACUUGCACGGUUAGUGUCGUUUUUCUUGAACUUAUACAUAAAACGAUGAGCAAUGGCAUAUUUUUGCAGUACAUCGCGAAAUUCAUUAACACUUGGGAACUCAUGUCCAACUCCAGUGAUACCAUCUUUCCACAAUGUGACCAACUCUUCAGACAGAACAUCAUUUGACGGGCGUAGAAUGUCCUGAUUAUGGUCAAUGCUAUUACACGGCACAAUCUCCUCUUCCUGAUCCUCAUUAUCAGUUUCUGGAGCAGUUUUAAAGUUGAGAGUAUUCUUCUUCCUGGACACAGAAUUUCUUUCAUCCCCAAUAUCCUCAUUGAUAGAAACAAUGGUAGGGCCAUCUGGACCAAUUUUCCAUGCAGCAGUGCGCCUUCGUUUCUUAACGGAAUCAGCAGGGGUGCAGUCCAUAUCAAUUAUGUCCAAGCUGUGGACACUUGCAUCAGCAGCAACAGAAAUGGAACCAUUUGGAGUGGAACUAAUAACACCAGCAGGGGUAGAGUCCACACCAUAUAUGUCCAAGCUGUAGAUGCUUGCAUCAGCAGCAAGAGAAAUGGAACCGGUUGGAAUUGAGGUAGUAGCAUCUGCAUGAUCAGUAAAGGCAGGGGAAAUGUGAGCAGUAUGAGUCAAUCCACUUGGGCUUUGAGUCCGUUCUUUGUCAGAUACAACAGAUCCUGCUUGUUGUGGAAUAGGACGAAGGGAAGGGACAUCUGGAGUAAUAUUUGAAGCAGCAGGAACAACUGUGGUAUUAACAUUACUUGGUGCAAUUGGUGAAUUAGCUGCAACAGGACGAUUAGCAUCAGCGUGAAAAACAACAGCUGAAGUACUGGAGGCAGCAAUAGGAAUCACAGAGUCUGCCACUUUUAACCCACAUGCCCUGCAAACCAUUAAGUCAUGCUAUCAAUGCAAGCAAAUUUUUGCAACAUGCCACAAUUACCAGUCGAUGUUCAUCAUCAUACAGCAUAGAGGGCAUUGCCAUCACUUUUUUCUAAAGAAAUUGUGAUAUCAACGUCCCUCUUUAAUCAAACUGGUUUAGCAGUAAAUUUCAGUAAUUUAGAUGCAGGUAAACAAAUAACAAAGACGAUACCUUUUUAGUGUGUUUAAGGCUUCAUCACCAUCGAAGCCAGCUUUUCCUAUGACAAAAACAUCACCAGUUACUGCAUUACCAUGGAACUCAUACAUCCUUUUCAGGUCCCUAUCACUGGAUAACGUGAUGAGAGUUCGCCUAUUUCCUGGUAGAAAAUACUUGAUGGACAAAGAUUUAUACUCUAAAUUGCAUAUUUCAGCUAACUUCAACUUGAGAUCAUCAAAUAAGGUUUCAUGAUUGAUAUCUACAGCAUGCGCAUCCCCUCCAGUAUAGCACAUGGUUCCAUCAUCCUUCUUGACAAAUUCGCCACCCCACUGGCAGAUUAAGAUAAGUUUUGCCCUCACCAUCACACUGAACUCCAACCAUAUAAACAAAAGAAUGAGAAACUCAGAUAAAAAUAUAUGACAUUCAUAAUUCAGUUUUCAAAACAAUACAAGAUUACUACAAUCUAAUAACCAUAUGUAUGUACUAAGGCCAUGUUUGCAAAUGCCAGUUAAUUCUGUAAUCUAACAAUGCAGUCAUUGACCAAAUAAGCUAAAAGCAACUACAAUGCUAAUAUAUAUACAUAGAUAUGAACACAAUUUUAUUACAUACACAAAGCAAAACCCAGUUCAAAACCUUAAUGGGAGCACACACUAGAGACCUGUCACAAUUCAGAACAUAAUUCUAGCACAUGGGUUAUCAUCCUUGAUCAACCUUACAUACCAAAUGGAGACAUUCAAUGUAUUUCAUGGUGGGUCAACCCAAACAAAGUCAACAAUCCAAACCCAGAUGAUCAUCAAAUGCACAAUUCAACAAAGCAAGCACCUUUUUCCCAGAUAGACAUGAAUAUCAAAAGUCCGAGACCCUGACUUUGAUUAGUACACUAUUUACUGAUUUGACUAGUUACAUGAAAUUGAAUUGUUACCAGCAAAGAAUUGAACUUUUUGGGUUUAGGGAGAGAGAAGAAAGGGUUUACCUGCAGAGGGGGUGGUGCAAGGUGUGAUACUGCAAUGGAUGGAAACCCUAGAAUUUGGGGCCUUCUGGAAAUAAGGAUAAAAGAGGAGGAGGAUGCAAAGGGUCGUUUAGACACGAAAGUUAUAAAAACGGGGCUGAAAAGGAAAGACUGUUUUGGGCCACAAUUAGGUCUGGGCUUCGAUUACUUAAGUCACUGAAUUUUUUUUUGUUUUGUUUUUGUUUGCGUUAAGUCUCGUUCACUAAAGUGAUUCGAGAGCAUUUUCAAUAUACAUCAUGUAUCUUCACAUACAUACAUGAAUGAUCAAGAUUAGAGGAAAUAAUAUAAAAAUAUAGUGAUCAAACAUAUGAAUUAUUAUGAACGGUUUAGAUUGCGUCGUGUAUACAAGAAGUUCCUAAGUGAUACAUGUCAAAGUUCAAAGUUCCAAUGGGAGACAAGGUAAGAGACAUGGAACUGAGAUCAUCAUGUCAUGGCUCUCGUCUCAUAUUGCCUUAAGAGGAGAUAUGAUAUCGAACAUUUAAUCAUAAUCUUAUUGUUAGGAUUUUCUCUGAUUUAAAUAUUGUGUUGCUAUGUGAAGUGAGACCCAUACAAGUGCAAAAGAAUAUGGUCACCAUAUUAAGAAGAGGAUUAUAAGUUUGAUUCGGUAUUAAAGAGAUGAUGUCAAAAUUUCUUUCUUAACUGCUUUGGUUUAAUUCUUCUUUUGUGCACACCAGUCAGGGGUGCCAAUGAAGACGUCGUAGUGUCAGCACUCAGCGGGUUGGGAAGUUGAAUUGAGUCCUAGACUUCGAACUCGGGUACACAACAAGCCUAAUCAGCCCGUCCACAGUUUGUUUUAUUUGCUCAAGUAGGGAUGUCAAUUUCUUAAAUUGAAGAAGAAAAUUAGCUAGGAAUGGCACUUUGUGUCUGUAUUUGGAUAAUCUAUGUGACUAUAUAUGGGUAAAAUUUGCAAGAUUGAAGAUUACACUUUUCAUUUGACACAAAAAAAAAAAAAAAAAAAUAGUUACAUGUACGUGUUCGAGUACUCAUCCCUUAGAUCAUAUUGAAAACUAUAUUGAGUAGUAAGAAUUGGUGCACACAACAUCCUAAGAGUUUUUUUUUUUUAUUAAACACAACAUCCUAAGAGUUGCUCUCCUCUCAUCCCCUGUGUUUGGAUGACCCCUGAAAUCCCUAUGAUGAGUAUAUAGUCAAGCUAAGCAAAUCAAAUUCCCCUUGUGUCAACUUCUCCGGUGUCAGCUCCGCAUGUAUUUGCUCCUCUUGUGACACCUUUGAUGUCAGCUAAUGUAGUUGUUGCUCCUCUUGUGUUGAAUGCUAAUUCAUAGUGAGAAAUACCCUUUUUCCUAUUAUGAGUGAAAGGGGAUAUCAUUUUCCCCCGUUUUCAUCCAUGUAAAUGCUGAGAUCCACAUCAUUCUCAUCCUUACAAGCCCUUGACGAACUAUCGUGGAUGAGAAUGACGUGGAUCUCGGCAUUUAGAGUGAUGACUAGGAUAUGGACUGGAUAUUGGCAAUGCCAGCAGCUAAUGCCAUGUAUCACCACAAUGCCAUUGUCCAAGAUGGAAUUAACCUGGACCUCUCACUCAGAUGAUGUCCUUUGCUGAGAAGAAAACAAUAACUAAUCACAUCGUUAUGAAGAAAACAAUAAUUAAUCAAAUGAGGUUAUAUAACUCUAAGCCGUAUUUCUAGUAUAUAGAUCCGAUGAAUGUAAAUUAUACUUAUUACUAAUCUCUCUAACCACCCGCUCAUCUUCCUCUUCAUUGAGACACAUGUACGCUGGUUUCUGACCGUUUCUCCAUCUAUAUCAGUUUAUAGAGAACCCAAGAUGUUGUGCACAUAUCAGAAAACUAAUGAGGUUUUUUUUUAUAGGCGAACAUGAAGAUUCGAGAACGAGUGGUUUUGUUAAAACAACGAGCGUACCGUCGGUUUUACAAAAACAACGGGUAUUUGAAUUCAAACACAUUAAAAAUGAAUUAUAUUCAGUAAGUUUUAAUUUUUAUAACAUUUGUGUGUUUGUGUGAAUGAGUAUAAGAAAUUAAAAAUUAACUAUUGACAGCCAUACCUGGCUGGUUCACAUGUUUGUUGUUUCCUUGGUCUUAGCUGAUUGCUUCCAUCCAAUAACAACACCGCAUGUACCCCUGCAACCCCACAGUAAAUAAAACAAACAACUUUGCACCUUGACCUUACAUAGGAAAACAUUUCCGUCUCAACUAUAAUAGAAAGAAGCGACUAGUUUUGAUUCCAUUAGCUUUAUACAUGUUUUUCGUGAGGCCAAUUUUAUGGCUGAUGUUAUUGCUCAUCUUGGUCAUUCUACUGGUUCUAAUUUGUGUUGGACUGAUAUGAUUCCUAAUGAGGCUUUUAGAGCCUUGCUAUUUGAUAUUGUAAACUUUGGAUGCCCUAGAGGCUUUGUUCUUUAAAGUUUGUUUCUUCUUCAAAAAAAACUAUAGCAGAAAGAAGACAUGUUACAUUUUUGGUGUUUACAAUUUAUGGUACUUGCAUGAUCCGAUCUGAUAAGCCUGUUACAUUCUUGUGAGAAAAUCUCGUAAAUCAAUUGAUGUUGACAUGUGCCCGUCUAGCUCAGUUGGUAGAGCGCAAGGCUCUUAACCUUGUGGUCGUGGGUUCGAGCCCCACGGUGGGCGUUAUAUUUUUUUUCACUAUUUUUCAUCCUCUCUCUAAUACACUGAAAUUCCUUUGUUUUUGGGAAAAGAUAAUUUAAAUACACUUUAUUUUUAAUUUUUUUGAAUCGACACUGAGAUUCCUUUGCUCUUUGGGACUCUUCUUGUAUAUGCUAAUUUGGAAAUCAUAAUUCCUGAGUAACAUCAGUGAAUUACCUUAUCCCUGCUUGGCUGCUUCCACUUGGAAACUCAAAACCUAUAUCUUCCAUAAUCUCAAUAAAAUCUCCUAGCUCUACCAGGAUUCAUUUUCUAGGAAUUUAAAUGCAUAUGCUAAGUAAUCAGUGCAAAAUUGAAUCGGUCUCUCAAAGUUUAAUCAAAGCAAUACAAUUCUAUAUAUAUGUGGCUGGUCUCUGAAACGUGGACCAUUCUCUCUUACAUUGAAAUGGGUCUUGACGACAAAGUGGACAUGGUUUUGGUAGCCACAGAUCAAUGCAUUCACGGUGAUAAGUAUGCUUACACUUGUGAAGCUCUGCGCACUCAUGACCUUCCUCAAACUCCCUCAGGCAAAUACAGCAGUCACCAUCCAUCUGGCUACUUUUUAUUUCAUAAAACAUGCUCGGAUCAUCCGGCUCUGGUGAAACCCCGCCGCUACAGACGCCGGUUUCUAUGUCUUGCCACUCUUGCGGGCUUUGAUGAUCCGUUCGACGACGACGUCCUCUCAGCGGAAGUCGGGUUGAAAAAAGUGGCGAAAUUUUUUCAAACAAAAAAUCCAAGAGGCUGUGCCUAACGGUACUUGAGCAAAGCAAGAACAACAAAAUAAAAAAAGCCAUAAAGAACCAAAAACUACUGCAGUGGUUAUAUGCUGAUCACUAGGUUGCCCAUAAUAAGCAGGUGCUGGAGGAGUGGACGACAUUCGGACUGGCUUUACUAUGGAAUUUAUAAGAACAAGGAUUACAGAAGCUGAGGGAUGCGUAAGAAAGAAAUAGCUUCUGAGUUUUGAACUUUUGAAGUUGUAGUCAGAGUACCUCCCUUAUAUACCGAGCUGUGCAUGCUGUAUUCCCAAUUGGAGUGGGAUAUAAUAUUCCUACCAGGGAUUAGGAUUAGAAAACUGUGUUUUUAUCUCUUUGAUAUUUUGGGCGCAGCAUCCCAAUGGCACUAUACUUAAUCGAAGAUUAAACCACAGAAAAAUCAGAUUCGCAAAUGCUUUAACUGCAAAAGCUAAACCCAAAAAUACAUCUUUCAUCGAUGAAUGCCAAAUGCAAAUCAUACAUUCAUACAAAUUUCUUGUAAAUCUAGUUCUUCUCCGUCGUGCAACAAGUUACUGUACCCCAGACUUGAGGGAAACAAAGGGAACCAAAAAACACUCAUAAGAUGGUUUUAUUUAUCUCACUAUUGUGGAUCGAUACUGACACCAAUAGACAAGCGAAGAAUACAAAAGUGUGCGUAUUUAGUAUUUUACCAACCAAUUAAGAAAACACAAUAGCUUGUGAUUAAAACUCCUUGGUGAUCGAGUUUGUUCUCAAACAGAAAAAAGAAAAUCAUCUUGGUAUAAAUCCUUAGAUGCAACUAACAUUUUACAUACGAAUACUUCACCAUGGAUUAGGAAAAAUCCACAAGAGGGAAUCCCUAGUAAAUACAUUUUUGCUAAACGACUUCACUCUUCUCCUGCUUUCUACUUCUGCUCUCUCAAGAUUGUAUGUUCCAUACUUUCCAAAUUCUCCUGACGUUAUUCCAAAGUAGAUGGAGUUCUUUUCACAUCCUAAGAAACAUGGGUUCGGCAAUGACUUUACUUGUUCAUAAGACAAGAAUAAACAUUGAUAGCCUAAACUCUGCAAAUUUUCCCAUUUGCCUUCUGCUAAACUUUUCCACAAAAAAGUGUAAAUUGAAGGACCAACUUUCAUCCUUGAAUUUACUUUGUUUCAGACGUAAGAUCUCACCCGAUAAUGACUCCAUCAAAUAGGUACCACUACCAGAUCUGCGGGCAGCAGGGUCUUCACUCUUCAAUAGGGCUACGUUGUAAAGGUGUAAAGGUGGGUAUUCCUUAAAGUCCCAAACCUUUGUAUGACCCCUCCAUGUCACUGCAACUAAAUGGUCAUCAUGAAACACAAGAUGUUUUUGAUAAAAAUGCUUACCAUCCUCUAACCUUUUCCAGGACAUGUCUUCGUCUCCAUGUUUAUUGAAUGCUAGUGUAUCGCAACCAUAUUUCACUACCAUGCACAAUAAAGUUCUUGUUGCAAGACGGAUUGGACGAAAUAACAGCUUUAGAAACGCCAUCUCCAUGUAUGUUGUCAGGAAGGGUCUGAGUGCCUGGGAUUGGAAUGCGCGCCGGCUCUUGUAAUCGGGUUAAAGACAUGAGCUUUUAAUUUUGAUUCUUUUGAAUCAUCGUCUUCAUAAAACAUGGCAAUCCAUCCAUAUGAUGAACCAACAAUUUUGGCAUUUUUGUCAAAGAAAUCAUAGAUGUUCCUAAUUCUGUGCUUCUUCUACCCAAUGGGAUCAAAUAAGGAGUGUUUUUGUCCGUGAAGAAAGAGACAUAUUGGAGUCCGAGGCAACGGAACGGAAGAGCUACAUGAUUUCGCAGCGGCUCUCCAAGAUUGGCAAACGGAUUUAAAAUCUAGGACGUGUCUAAAGCCAAGGAUGUCAAAUUCACAAGGUAUAAGCUUUUUUAAGAUUGACUCUAGAAGCUCAAUAGGAAGCUCAGACCCUCAUGGCUGCGUGAACUUCACGAGCACCGUCGUCGACAUCAUCUUCGAUCUUUUUUCUUCUUUUUCCUCCGGCAAGGUCGACAUCCAACGUUGUUCUUUGUCUGUUUCUUUCUUUGUUCAUCACGUCGUCAAUCACUAUAUAUCUGGUACGUAGGGGAAAACACAGAAGAGGAGAGCGACUGUGCAUGGAGCAAAGCUUAGUUGUGUCUUUUGGAUUAGGGUUUAUAAAACGAGGUGGGCUGUGCGAAGUCUACCUAUACCGGGCCCAGGCGGGUUGAGGGGCCCACCGUUUAAAAAGGACAAAAAAAAAAAAAAAACUAGGAUCGGCCUAGUUUAAUAUUGAGUUUUGAGGAUUAAAAUCACUUAUAAUCACCAUUUUAGAUAGAUUUUCUGUUUGGUAAAAUUUUAAAACGUGUUUAUCUAUAACUUUUUAGUUUAAAUAACUACGAUUUUAGAAAGCAAGUUGAGAGUUGCUUAUUUAAAACUGAGUUUUUAAAAAAUUGAGUUUUUAAACCACAAUACCAAACUAAAUCAUUACUCGCCCGUCGUGGUUGUUCUGUAGCAUUAGGGUGUUCCUUCCCUUCAAUGCUUCAUUACAGGGCCGGCCGGCCGGCCCUGUGGGGUGCUAAUUGAGGCAGCCACCUCAGGCCACCUACUAAAUUAACACAAGAGAACACAAAAACAACUCCAAUGAAACAUAAUGUAGUCAUUUAGACAUAUAUAGAGUGGUAACUACACCAAGGGAAUAAGUAUGAAUCAAAAUUGUCAUAAUACUCUCUGCAUUUUACCUCAAAGAAUCAAGUACUGUUUUGACUCUUUGCAGAAGGAACCAGCUAGGAAGCAUCAUAUUUCAUCAUUAUCAUCUUCUUCCAUUUGCUUCUAGAGGAUCUUCUGAACCAGUCAUCAGAAACUACUUGUUUUGGGCUCAAGCAAAAACUGGAUAGUCCUUUCUGAGAUACGGUGAAAGUCCUUUUAACGUCAAGCAGAACAUGUUUGGACACCAGUAAACCUCAUCUGAUGUGAACAGUGAAAAUACAUAGAAUUUGCUCUUGCUGGGUAUUUUCCAGAAUGAAAUUUCAUGACAUUUAUUAAUCUUUUUUAUGAAAGAAAAACACAGAAUUAUUUGGUUGUGGCCCAUUUACAAGAUCAAACGUGUUGUCAACUGCAUGUGACUUUCAUACUUCAACCUCUCUCUAUUUUAUUCUUCUCUCCAGGAAGACCAAGAAUUAUUGACCUGAGAGAAAACAUUUGGAAGACUAGGUAAAUUAAAUAGAUUUUUGUUGCCACACACAAACAUGGGUUCCAUUCUGUUACUAAAACAUUGAAACUUCAAAGUUAGGAAAUCAGUAGAUUGUAAAUUAGUUGCGUGUGCUCAACUUAUUGAGCAAAUUUUAUGACUAUUGGUUUGGAAUAUAUUUUGGAACACUAUAACACACAUUGUUUGGCACUUUGGCUCCCCUUAAUCAUCAAACAUUACUUGUUUCCCAUUAAUUUGGUCCUGCAAGUACCUUUCUGCUCUUUUGAUCUCAUAAUCCUAUCCUAUUCAUGCUUCACAUCAUUUUCAGAAAUUGGGUAAAAAGAUGAUGAGGAAAACUCAGAAAACUAUGCAUCAUAUUCAUUUAUCCAAAACUUAUUGGCAUCUGAGUAUCAUUACCAACUCUGCUUUCUAUUGCACCUCGCAUAUCCUCCUAGCUUAAAGUAAUAAUCUUCCUCUGAUCUUAUUCACUGCUGCACGUCAAUUCUUACCUACCUAGGUUCUAUCUUAAAUUCGUAUUCCACCCUUCUUCGUUUUCAAUUUUCUACUUUCAACCCCUUUUCCUUGAUUUAGCAAAGGCUAAUAGGCAUGCAUAUGUUUGAAUGCACACCCUGAAGUACCAAAUUCCUAACAUAGGAUGCAAUAUUAAGUGUGAGAGAGCUAGCAAAAAAGUUAAAAGCCUUCGAAAAUGAAGAAUCUGAACUCAGAACUUUCAUUAUGUGGAUCAACAAUGAUCGAUCAUUGAAAAACUCAUAACUAGGGUUAAUCUCAAGCAAAUAUCUAUAGUUUAGUUUGUUAACUUAGAAUAAGGUCGUUGAUAAUGAUUUAUCAAGCACACACCAAUGCUUGACUAAUCACAUUCACAGCUAUGCAACUGCAGCUUGAUUAUGACCAUGAUGAUGCAACUCCUCCAAAACCCUUUCUUUUUCUUGCUUGCAUAUGAGGCCCCCCAAACUCCAACCAACCAUUACUAGGUCUCGGUCUUUUGAAGCCAGAGAGCGCCAACUAUACACCAAAACCCACAACUAAGCAAAUUACCUAAAACUCAAAGCCUCCCAUAGCAAAACUCCACCAUAAUAAGAACGAUUAAUAAUUCACAAACACUGCUCCAAGGUCACAAACCUUGUUAAAGAUUCGUAUCUUCCUCUCCGAACAUUCCAACGACAAUUCGCAUCAGCAUCUGACGGCCAGAAAAUUCCCCAUAAACCCCAGAAAUUCCAAAGCAUAAUUCUAGCAUCCAAUCACCAAUAUAUUCUCUCCCCAUUUUGCCAACUCAGUAUAACUCCCUAAAUCUUCACCCGCCUAAAAAAACAGAGUUCGUUGCUAAAAAUACCUUUCAGAGACAAAAAGCCGUUGCUAAAUCUCUCCCCUGUUUCUCCUCUGUUUCUCCUCCGCUGGAGAAACCCCAUUUCUGGUGGCCGGAAAGAACCUUCGGUCUUUAUCUCCAUCUGGGUUUCUUGAGUUUCUUCCUCGUCGUCUGCCUGUGGUGGUUUGAAGGUCACCGGAGGACGAUGAUGUCGGUGGCGUCGCCGAGAAAGUCAAUAACGGAGAAAGUGUUUGAGAGGGUCGGAGGGGUUUCUUACCUGAGCAGUUAUCUCAAGAACAAUAACGGUCGUAACCACCACCACCAUUAUCACAGAGAAGUUGAGAGCGAUGAUGAUUACUAUGACGAUGAGGGGACUAUGGAGCUUGUGCAAAUUGGAGCUGAGAGGACCAAGAACGUUUUGAUUCUGAUGAGUGAUACCGGCGGCGGACACAGAGCUUCGGCUGAGGCGAUUAAGGAUGCGUUUCGGUUGGAGUUUGGAGAUGAAUACAGGGUAUUGUUCUGAAUUGGGUUUUGAGUUUCACAUCUGGGUUUUCUUGGGUUUUGUUUGCUUUAUGAGAGAUUUUGGUGAAUGAUGUAAUGGUUUUGAUUCCAAAGUUUUGAACUUUCUGAGAGCUGAAAUCUUAUAGCUUGACUUUUUGGAUGUAUGAUAUAGUGAUUUUAGUUCAAAGUUUUGAGCUUUCUAUGCAUAAUAGCUUUAAAGAUUGAUUCUUUGUUCUUGAAGUUUUCUGGGUUUUGUGUUGUUUCUGUGAUUUCUUUGCUUAAUGAGUUGGUUUAUGUGAUGCCUCAGGUGUUUGUGAAGGAUGUGUGGAAAGAGUACACAGGUUGGCCUCUAAAUAAUAUGGAGAGGUCUUACAAGUUCAUGGUGAAACAUGUUCAGCUAUGGAAGGUUGCAUUUCACAGUACCUCUCCUAGAUGGAUUCACAGUGUCUAUCUUGCUGCCAUUGCAGCCUACUAUGCCAAGUAAAAUAUCUGACCUUCUUCCACUUUUCUCUUUCAAUGAAGCCUCAAACCUUUAGAUAAUUCAGCAGUGAUUGUUUACUGGAUACUUCUGGUUUUGUCACAAAUAUCCCACCAAAGUUGUAUUCAAUUCAAGGGUCGCUUUACCACUUUGAUUACUUAUGCUUUAAGUUUUUAUUGUUUUCUUCCUUAAAAUGAUUCUUAAUCAUCCACUUGUUUCCUAAUCAGUUGUGAGAGAUUAAAUAAUCUUGUGAACGUACAUGGUUGUCUCUUUUUGAAAAGCAAUAAGUAUUGUUCUAGCUGGAGAACCUGAUUCUGGUUUGACUUACAUGUUUUCAGUAUAGCUAGUGGGAUUUGUUAAGUAGUACUAAUGGUGAUGUAUUGUGAUUGAAGGGAGGUGGAGGCCGGUCUAAUGGAGUACAAGCCAGACAUCAUUAUUAGUGUUCAUCCUUUGAUGCAACAUAUUCCUCUAUGGGUUCUCAAAUGGCAAGGGCUUCAGAAGAAAGUGAUAUUUGUGACAGUGAUUACUGAUCUCAACACUUGCCAUCCUACAUGGUCAGUUUAAUCAGAAUAUUUGGUUCAUGUAUGCUACUUUGCUACUUAGCCUUAUUAGGAAACCUUACAGUAUCUAACAUUGCAAGAUCAUCAUGCAGGUUUCAUCCGGGGGUCAAUAGGUGUUACUGUCCAUCGCAGGAGGUAGCUAAAAGAGCUCUAGUUGAUGGCCUUGAAGAGUCCCAAAUACGUGUUUUUGGCUUGCCCAUCAGGCCCUCUUUUGCCCGAGCAGUAAUCUCCAAGGUUCUUUGCUGAUGAGAUUAUGUUUGUAUUAUGGUGCAAUGUAUUAAAGUGACUAGUUUUCUUAAUUGUGCCUUUACUAAUUCUCGCUUCUACAGGAUCAACUUAGAGAAGAACUUGAAAUGGACCCUGAGUUGCCUGCAGUAUUGCUGAUGGGAGGUGGUGAAGGAAUGGGGCCUGUAAAGGAAACUGCAAGAGCUCUGGGAGAAUCCCUCUUUGAUAAAGAACUGGGAAAACCAAUUGCACAGCUGAUCGUUAUAUGCGGCCGCAAUAAAAACCUUGUUGCCACGCUUGAAUCUGAUGAGUGGAACAUCCCAGUCAAGGUAAAUUGUCCUAGCUAGCUAGCCUUGCUUGUUGAGACCUGCUGUGUAUAAAACUUUGACACACUUAGGCAUUGGGGAAAACACAUUUACAUCUUUCAAACUUGCAGAUUAGAGGAUUUGAGACACAGAUGGAGAAAUGGAUGGGAUCUUGUGACUGCAUCAUAACAAAGGUAAACUGUGACCAAGUUUAUCUGGUUCCAAUCUAAAAAUUUUCUAACAUUUUUCAUAUCUGGGGACUAAUGAGUUUAUCUCAUUCCAAUCUUUUGUAGGCUGGUCCAGGCACAAUCGCGGAGGCAUUGAUCAGAGGGCUUCCUAUUAUUCUCAAUGACUACAUUCCUGGACAAGUUAGUGACAUUUUCUCUUCUCUCUUGGAUUUAUGCAUUUUCUUAGACAAAUUGGUUAAUGUAGCCAGUACUAACUAAUUGACAACCUCAGGAAAAGGGCAACGUGCCUUAUGUGGUAGACAAUGGUGCUGGUGUCUUCACCAGAAGUCCCAAGGAAACAGCCAGGAUUGUGGCAGAAUGGUUCAGCACUAAGCCGAAUGAACUCAAAAGAAUGUCCGAGAAUGCACUUAAACUAGCACAACCGGAGGCUGUUUUCGACAUUGUCAAAGACAUUCACGACCUCGCCUGCCAACGUGGUCCUCUCGCAAACAUCGCUUACAUCCUGACAUCCUCAUUUACAAGUAUAAUCUAAUGAUCAGUUUGUGUCUUCUUCUAUUCAUUACUGAAGUCCCACCCCCCCCCCCCCCCGCCGCCCCUACGAAUGCCAUGUACAGGAAAACGCUAGCUGUCUAAUAUUAUCAUUCUUUGGCCUCAGAAGCCCCAAAAUGGUUGUAAUCUGUAUAUUAUUGUAGACAAGCUCCAGUAUUCAGUAAGGUUCUGAUUCUUUUCUAGGAUUUUGAAAGAUCAUAUAUAUAGAGAGGAUGGUAUUGACCAUGUUGUAAUUUUUCUGUCCCAGUAUUGGUUGCUUCAGAUUAGGCUUUUACACAUUUUGCUGAUUACCAGAAAAUAGUACAUGUAGUGGCUUAGCUUGAAAGCAAUAUCUUCCUACAAUGGUUGAAACUUUCAAUCUAGGUUAUGAUGCUCUUAAGUUUCUGCAGAAUUGUCAACAAAAACUACAAACCAAUUGUUUCAAGAAAACAACUCAUAUACAGUCAAUUACAUCACCAUCUCAGCCCUAUUCAGCUACAUAUCUAAACUUAAAAUCAGUCUCAUCCAACUUUUGACAUAGCUGUGUUUUAUGAAGCUUCGUUGAGAAAGAAAGCACAGUAAAAAUCAAGAACAGAGUACUUAAAAGCAAACAUAACCAAAUUAGACAGAGCGAUGAAAUGUGGAAUAUACUGAAUUGAAUUUUCUGUACAAUUGAAAUUACACUUCAUCAGAAGCAUACAAAACCAAAGUAGCCUAUCACAUUCCUAUAAUUACAAUUGAUGUCUUGGACUCUUGGUUUGAGCUUUGCUCAUCAGCUUCAACAUCAUUCAUCAAUCAUCGUCCACAGAUAAAUGUACUCAUGGCUACCUUUGAGCUUUGAUCCUCAUGAGAUAUUGUAGAGCCAUCACUGCUAGAUCCACUAUCACAUUUCACAUUUUUCUUCUUCUUCUUGUUCUUCUUCAAGAUCAGUUGCUUCUGGCACAUAACUGUGUCUUGAAAAUCCAAGCAGUCAUAAUCAAUGAAAAGAUCAGCUUUCUCAUCCUCAGUCAUAGUCUCAAACCCCAUCGAACUACUCGUCCAUGUCUUCAACGCGGUUUGCACCGAAGGCAACACAAGCCUCUCAACCCCACACUCCCUAAGCCACUUCUCAAUCUCACCCAUCAACACCUUACACAUCCCUUGCCUCUGAUACUCAAACCCCGUCGCCACCAGCGGCGCCUCCGCCACGUCAUUAUGGACCCUCACGUUCGCCACCGUCGCCACCUUGUCUCCUUUCUCCAAAACCACCGUGUAGAACUCCCUUUCCUCGUUGAAGAUGACGUCCUCCGCCACGUCCUUGUGCGUCACGGGGUCCAUAGACGGUGCGAAACACUCGUGCAUGACAUGCAGGGCUUGUGUCAGCUUGACGUAAUGAGCCUUGUUGUGUUUCAUGUCGGACUUUAGCAGAGUCCAUGAAAGAUCGCUCCGGCCGUGAACCGGGCUCGGCCUCCCCAAAACCAAACCGACGCCGGGAAGCAACGACCUGUCGUCUCGCAUUAUGUCUUCCAUUGAUCUCAUCCUGUUCUUGAUCCUCUUUCUGCAGAACAGAGGCGACGACGACGUUUUGGGGUGGUUUUGUUGAACAAGAUCGGAGGUUCUGAUCUUGCUGCUGCGCGUGGCUCGAACCCUAAGCGCAUUUGGGAGUGAAGAAGGCAUGGAGAUGGACGAAGCAGACGAGGAUCUGUUUCGCUUCGGCAUGGUUUCUCUGGUUUUGGGAAAGAAUGAAGAAAGAAGAGAGUGGAGUGGAGUGGAGUGGAGUGGAAUGAGAAGAGUGUGAGGGAGUGGGUUGCUAUACAUGAAUUCGGGCAACACUCUACUAAAUCCUUGUCUGAGUAGGCUUUGGUUUUUCCUUAUUAGUUACGGAUUGGGAUUUUGGGUAAUUAAUUAAUGCUUUUCAGUGAAGCUUGGGUUUCCUUGUUAUUAAGGGGUUUAAUUAUUAGCUGGCAUAUUUUGAUUUUCGUUAUUAACAGGACCAAGUGACUAAAUUACCCUUUUUUGCUGUUAAAUAAAGAAUGAAGGCAUCCUUAUUUUGCAAGGAGUAAUAAGGUAUUUUCCUCGCUCUACCUAGGUUUAGUACGAUGAAAUGCAACAUAUGUUAACUUUAGAUUUAUGUUGAAAAAGUUAAAAAUGAAGACGCAACAUUUUAAUUAACUUUAGAUUUAAAUUUAGAUUUUUUUUUUUAACUUCAUUUGUUUUUAUUAAUACAUUAGUUUACGUUGCGCACUUGCGCUAAAGAUCUUUAAAGUUCGAUCUUUAGAAACGUUGGUAUAUAUAAGGUUUUUUCCCUCACUCUACCUGGAUGUAGUCCAUUGAAAUGCAACAUACAUUAAACAAAACUUUAUGAUGAAAAUGCAACAUUUUGUAGGGAAGAUAACUUGUUUCUAACUCAGCACAAAAAAUUGAUUGAUCAGAGUCUCCGAUGACUGACGAGAAGAAGAGAAGUGAAGACGACCGAAGAAAGAGGAGUCACAACUAUGCGGAUGAAGACGACCAAACAAACAAGAGCAGAGAUACUGGCCGAACAAACAAGAACGACGGCAGGUGGCUCAUUCUGAAGAUGGAUGUGGGGUUUUGGAAAGAAUCAAAAAGUACCGCGCCUUGAACUUGAAGUGCAUGAGGUCUCGUUCCCUCUCCACCAACAACAAGUCGAAGCCUCCUUCAAGCAGCAAGUUAUCAGACAAACUCCGAGAGGAGCAAAGAGCUAUUGCAGAUAACAAACUAAUGUUGGUUGAUCAGUCAACCGAGUUUGAUCGCAAAGCCCAAUGUAUUACUCUCAAAAACGCAUGCAAACUUUACAAGCCUCGUGAACAAACAAAGAUAGCCUACGAUUAUGUUACCAUAAAGUUUAGUAAAGUUUGUUAUAGUUUAAUUACCCCUGAAUAACAAACUUUACCAAACUUUACGGUAACAUAACUGUAGGCUAUCUUUGUUUGGUUAUGAGGCUUGUAAAGUUUGCGUGCAUUUUUUAGAGUAAUACAUUGGGCUUUGCGAUCAAACUCGGUUGACUGAUCAACCAACAUUAGUUUGUUAUCUGCAAUAGCUCUUUGCUCCUCUCGGAGUUUGUCUGAUAACUUGCUGCUUGAAGGAGGCUUCGACUUGUUGUUGGUGGAGAGGGAACGAGACCUCAUGCACUUCAAGUUCAAGGCGCGGUACUUUUUGAUUCUUUCCAAAACCCCACAUCCAUCUUCAGAAUGAGCCACCUGCCGUCGUUCUUGUUUGUUCGGCCAGUAUCUCUGCUCUUGUUUGUUUGGUCGUCUUCAUCCGCACAGCUAUGACUCAUCUUUCUUCGGUCGUCUUCACUUCUCUUCUUCUCAUCUGCCACCGGAGACUCUGAUCAAUCAAUUUUUUGUGCCGAGUUAGAAACAAGUUCUCUUCCCCUUCAUAUAUAUCCACUAAACGAGAAGAAGAUUACAAUUGAAGAACAAUUCAGUUCUUUUACCCUCAAAUAACCUCUCUCCUCACACUGUAGAUUAUAGUAGAGAUAUCUCAAAUACAUCUGAUCUCUCAUAGCUUGCAACUCUCAAGAUCAGAACUCUCAAUUGAUCUACAUCACACCACACCUAAAACUAUGCCUCUAAGGUCCUAUUUAUAGACUCACAAUUAGUCCGAAUUACAAUAGGAUUUAGAACCAUAGCAUGAAUCCUAAACCAUUACUUCUAAAGAUAAACUUCAAAAAUCCUAGAUACACUAGAAUAACUUACCCAAAACCUUUAGAAGUAAAGAAUCCAAAAUAAAUAAGGAAUCAGUUUUGAGCCGCAACCCUAAAAAUAUGUAUAGGUGUUCUUACUUCUCUUAGGAGUAUCUGCAUUAGGUUUAAGAUCAGUCAAAUAUACUCUCUUAAAUCGAAUCAGAAAGAUUUCUCCUUUGUCUCUUCUCUUCUGAUAAAAUAUUAUUUACAUGGGGUUAGAAGUAAAAACAUUUUGUUCAAACAAUAGUUAAGGCGAGGGAUGAUGAUGGCUUGCCAAAGUAAUGUUUGGCUGGACCUAAAGAAGUAUGGUGGAAAGUGAUGGACUCAAAGACCAGAGAGCCUUUAACGAUAUCUCUACCUCUAAUUGAUAUUUGAAAAACCAAACGAAUUUCCAUAAAUAAAGUAAUUUUUCCUUUUCACUUUUUGUUAUUCACCAGAAGUAAAAAGGAAAAAUUACUCCGUUUUUUUUUUCUUUUCACUUUCCUAUUUAAAACAAAGAAUUAAAUUCAGUUUACCCCCCAUGAGGUUUGAGAGUAACUUCAUGUUAAUCUCUAUACUUUCAAUUUCAUCAGUUUACCCCUCAAACUUUUGAAUUUUCCUCAAGCGUGACCAAAUGUCCUAUAUUCUGUCCAAAUCGGACGUUAAUUGCUAAUAAUUAUAACCAUAACUGUGAGGCCAGUAUCUAGAAUUUGGGUAAAUCGGAUCUUAUAUGUCCAAAUCAGACCUUAACUGUUGAUAAUUCAAGGUCAAUUCAAACGGAAUAUGAGAAUUUGGGCACGGUAGACAGAAAUUGAAGAGUUCAAGAGGUAAACUGAUGAAAAUAAAAGUGUAGGGACUAACAUGAAGUUACCCCAAACCAAAGAAGGUAAACUGAAUUUAAUUCUAAAACCAAAUACAAAAUUUAGUGGUUGGGUCCUACUUGAAAAUCCAAGAGAGCUAAACUUGUUGAACACAGGUUCAGUCCUCAUCAUCACUAAAACCAAAUCUCAGCCGUUGAUUUCUCUCAUCUCCCCCCAUCCAUGACCCUUAAGUUCUCCAAGCCUAGGGUUGCCACCACCACCAUUCUCACUCCGCUCUCCGCCACCGCCAUCAUCGCGGUCCAUGUCGUCGAUGACCAAGAUCAACGGCCACCCUUCGCCCCACCCCUGCCCUCACCUCGCCUCCUUUAAAUCCAAAAACGGCUCCAAACCCUUCCGCGCCUUACAGGACUGCCUCCGAAUCAAGCCCCCCGGCGGCCGCGCCUCGAUCCGCCGCGAUCCCGACGAGCUCCCCCGAUGCGCCACCUGCGCCGAUCCCUCCCACUCGCGCCUCUACGCCUGCGUCGCCUGCGCCGCGGUCCACUGCCACGCGCCGUCCGGACGCUCCCACGCGGCGGCGCACACCGCGUCGAUGCCUCCGGGGCACGAGAUCGCCGUCGACGUCGACCGCGCCGAGCUCUUCUGCUGCGCGUGCCGGGACCAGGUCUACGACCGCGACUUCGACGCCGCCGUGGUCCUUGCUCAGACCGCCGCCGCGUCUUCCUCCUCCUCCGGCGCGAUCCACGCGCCGGAGAAUCUCCGCAAACGGCGUCGGAUCGAUUACAAGCCGUGGUCGCCGGAUUUCAGAGAGCAGGUGAUCGUCGGGAGAAACUCGAGCCUCCUCCACGGCCGGAGCCCCUCCGAAUUGCCGUGGGGGCUGCGCGGCCUCAACAACCUGGGGAACACAUGCUUCAUGAACUCGGUUCUUCAGGCGUUGCUCCACACGCCGCCGUUGCGGAACUACUUCCUCAGCGAUCGGCACAACCGCUACUUUUGCCAGAAGAAGAGCAAUGCCGAUAAGAAAAGCGCGGGAAACGGCGGCGGGAACGCCGUGUGCUUGGCCUGUGACAUGGACGCCACGUUUUCGGCGGUGUUUUCAGGUGAUCGGAAGCCUUAUAGCCCCGCCAAGUUCUUGUACAGGUCUGUGAAAGCUCUACAUUACAAUGUGGGUAGCCUUAUAUGAAAUGUAUGCUGUAGUUUCGCUUUUUUAUUCACAUUGUAAUUUAUUAAGUGUAAAAUUGUUUAUUUUUCUUACCUUGUGGUUUUGUUUGGUUCGGAUUUGUUUGUUUUAUAGUUUACUGACCUUGUUUCGUUUGGUUUUACUGUAGUUGGUGGCAAUACGCCGCGAAUUUGGCGAGCUAUGAGCAGCAGGAUGCGCAUGAGUUCUUCAUUUCGACGCUGGAUGGGAUUCAUGAGAAGGUCGAAAAGGAGGGGAGGAAAGCCGAGAGCCAAGGUUUACUCUUUUUUAGAAUCCAAACCUCUAAUUAGGCUUCUUCUUGUGAUUUAUCUCUGCAUGCUUCAGGCGGGAUAGGAUACAACUAGCAAAGAUCAAAUUUCGGCAUUGUGAUUGUGAAUCAUUGUGGAGAUUUUUUUUUCGUCACAUGUCUGGUUAAAGGUUGAAGUGACAUGUCUAGUUAACUAGAGGAGUUUGAGCAAGGGGACAUGUAGCUCUUCUCUGGUCAUUGCUGUACAGUUCAGGUUUAAUUAGAUGUUUGGCCACUACUGAACUCCAUUGUUGAUUUUUAAUUAGUUGGGGCAGUGUGUCUCUCUAUAUGAUACAACAUUAAAUACUGUUCAUAAAAUGCUUUCAAGAUAAGUGGCAUCUCGGUUGAAUAGUAUAGCUCAUAUUUUUUUGGUCUAAUUUGCUUUUAUUUUGAGAUAGAUUUACAGAUUUACACAAACAGUAGAUAACUGUAAUUACUUUCAAGUUUACAAACAUUUUUUAGUUGUUUGUAGAUGUUCUAACUUCCUCUUCAGCCAGCUCUGAACAUGGUGUAUCUGUGUUUAAGUUUAUAUCUAGCAGUUUUAUGUAAACUAGUGGAACGUUUAGAUGACUUAAGGGCACUUGUUGCAAAAAAAUUCUCUUAUGUCAGAUAAAAAGUUGAUGAUGGCCUUCUAGAACAUAAAGGGACGACAAACUUGGUGUCAUUUGCAAUAUAUUGACUUUAGAGUUCUCUGUGAGCAAUUGCCAUCCCUAGUUUUUGUAUAUUUGUUAUUUCUUUUUAGUUGGAGUGACUCAGAAUACUGUUGAGGAUUUAAGGUGGCUUUGACAUCUAAAUGCAGGAUGUGAGUCUAGGUACCUUGCUUUUGCCCUAGGAGUUGACCCUCUGCUCACAGUUUAGGGCUAAUUUUCACCCUCUGCCUGCUGGCUUGAUGGUGUUAUCCGCUUCACUCCAGUAAGUGUACCUUCACUUAGUUGUCUUGGGUUUAUCUAGGGCAUUCUCACCUUUCACAAUUCUCACUAAAACUCAACCUUUUGCCAGGUUUAGGGUCAAAUUACAAAGUGGAUUGAAAACCUAAAGAAUUGGACGAUUCCUUUAAGUUGAUAAACGGCGUAGAUUAUGUCUCCAGCACCUGUUGGUAGUUGGGGUAUUCAUGUUGUUGCUUGCGGGAUAUCUUUUGGCCAUGAUGUUUACUUGUUUCAUGUGGAGUGUGCUAUUCUUCUUCGAUAAAGGAAAGUUUAAAUGCCUUUCUGAUAAAUCUUCAUUUCUUUUGUACUGCAGGCACUGGAGAUUGUUGUGUGGCUCAUAGAGUUUUCUCUGGCAUCUUGCGAUCUGAUGUCAUGUGUAUGGCUUGUGGUUUUACGUCAACAACAUUUGAUCCAUGCGUAGACAUCUCACUGGAUCUGGAACCAGGUUCUGCGAAGAAGGUUUCCACAAAGUCAAAUCAUUCUUGCAAUGGCAUUGCAGAUUGCAUGAAUUCUGGCCAGAACUGUGGCACGUCUACCCUUGUCGGAUGCCUCGACCGUUUUACAAGACCUGAGAGAUUGGGCACUGACCAGAAAUUUUUUUGCAAGCAGUGUCAGGUGAGACAGGAGUCUCUAAAGCAAAUGUCCAUUAGGAAGCUUCCUUUGGUUUCUUGCUUCCAUAUCAAAAGAUUUGAGCAUUCUUCAACACGAAAGAUGUCAAGGAAGGUUGACCGUUAUCUGCAGUUUCCAUUUUCUUUGGACAUGGCACCAUAUCUUUCGUCUUCCAUAUUAAGGAAUCGAUUUGGGAAUAGGAUUCUUCCUUUGGAUGGGGAUGAGCCAGAAGCUCCAAAUGAGUUAUGUUCAGAAUUUGAGUUGUUUGCUGUCGUAACUCACACAGGCAAGCUGGAUGCUGGCCACUACGUGACCUACUUGCGAUUAAGUAAUAACUGGUACAAGUGUGAUGAUGCUUGGAUCACACAAGUUAACGAGGACAUUGUGAGGGCUGCACAAGGCUACAUGAUGUUUUAUGUACAGAAAAUGCUAUUUUACAAAGCGAGUGAAAAACAGGGGUCUGCAUAAUAUGCUGAGCAGGAAAGAGUGUGUUAAUUAGAAAACGAACAGCUUCCUGCCUGUUUUGCUUAGCUUAAACAGUUUGUCAUCGAGUUGCUAUUCUCGGCAGCUAGUUGCGCCCUGAGGACACCUUUGAGGCUUUAGAGUGGUGAGUAAUUUAUGAUUCUCAGAUGGAGCAAAGUGAGCCUGAAUUUUUGGGGCAGUCUUGCAUUUGGGAAAUAAUCAAGUUCAAAAUUGUAUUGGUUUCUUGAAAUUGAUAUGAUGUGAAUUUUUUUACCUGCCUAUUCAAGUAUUUAUAAUAGAUCAUUUUUCCUCUAAUGUGUUGUGUGUAUCCAAUAGCAACUAAAAAGCUUCAUUCACGAGGUAUAUAUUGCAUCAGUGUCUUAUUUCAAGCAUAUUCAAAAACAAUAGGCCCCCAGAAGGAGUAGAUCAGCCCAAUAGGCCCAGGGCACUUCAGUGGCCCAGAUCCACCUAGCAGCCU
rnacentral:lncRNA from 1 species